rnacentral:lncRNA from 1 species
CGCUAGUAGUUGAAAUUUGGCAAUUAAGAUGGCACAAUACGGGGCUGAAUAUGGCAACCAAAAGAGCCAGUACGAUGAGUACGGAAACCCAGUUCGUCAGACAGACGAAUAUGGUAACCCAGCCCGCCAUGGAGGUACCAUGGGUGAUUAUGGAACCACUGGCACUACUGGAGCCUAUGGUGGCACAGCUGGAGCACAUGGGACUUAUGCAACUGGAACCACCGGCACUACCGGUACCGGUGCGUAUGCCACCCAGCCUGGCACUGAUGUGGGGAAGGAGCACCAUGGCCUUGGUGGCAUGCUUCAUCGCUCUGGUAGCGGUAGCUCUAGCUCGGUAUGCCCUCCUAAUUAAUCUCGUCUUGCUUAAAUUGUACUGAGUUGUAGUAGCAUUUAACAAAUCUUGACCAGCUUGUGAUGACUGGUAAUUAAAAAGUUCUUAUCUGUUUUCUUUUUGUUUUUUCGGUUGGGAUGCAGUCCGAGGAUGAUGGGCAAGGCGGGAGGAGGAAGAAGGGGAUGAAGGAGAAGAUAAAGGAGAAACUGCCUGGCGGUCACAAGGAGGCUCGACCUGGACAAGAAUAUUCGAGUGCUACUACAGCUCCUGGAUACGGCGGGGAAGGAGAGCAGCACGAGAAGAAAGGAAUUAUGGAUAAAAUCAAGGAGAAAUUACCAGGGGGUCACAACAACUGAAGAUCUAAUUCUAAUAAUAUGGGAUCCAAUUAUGAUAUUGUGUACCCCUAUUUUCAAUCUCAAUCUCAAUCUCGUUCGUGUCAUGUUUGUGUUUUCUGAGAUUUGAGUGUGUGGACGUCUUGAGUUUCUGUAAUUGGAAUAAAGAUGAUGAUGAUGACUCUGUAGUGUGUUUGUCCGUAUAUUCGGCGUCUUGUACUCGGGUCAUCUGGUCAUGUAUGUAUGUAACAUGUUAUGUAUCAAAUACGUGAAGUUUUGCGUUACUUUAGCGUGUGAUCGCUUGUAAGUUGUAAGGAUUACGACUCUGGUCGCAUCUAUUCUUUUUUGUCUCCUCAAACCAUAAUGCGCUAACACGAGCAGUGCAAACAAGAUUUCUUAUUAGCAAUAUAACCAGUAGUAACUCAACCCCUCAGGACCUUGAAGUCAGUAGAGUAGUUGUAGGCUCUUGUAAUUGUACACCAAUAUCUCCAAAGUUUCCAACUUCACUAUAUAUUAGUUCCUUGAUCCAAUACCAAAACCAAGCAAGCAAAUGCCACACAGAAAAUCGGGACAGGGACAAGAUAUGGACCUAGCAAAUCAAUAGACUCAGUUCAGAGGUAUAUGCUUGCAUUUGCGUGGCCAAUCAUCAUUGUUUUUUUUUUUUAAUUUUUUUUUAUCAUUUUUUUCGCCGCUGGGGAUGUAUGAUGGUUUGUUGACGAGGAACAAAUCAGAGAAAGGGUAACACCUUAGCAAACACUCGUGUUUGCUAAGGGGAAAAAGACACCAAUUUCAGUAACAGUGAUUGCAACUUUUCUUGGCAUGCGGCAAUUCUUUCAGCCCCAAGGAGGGGGGGAAAAGUGUUAUCCUUGGACUUCACCUUUAGGCCAAGCAGGGUACACCUAAUAUUCAAGGAACGGUUAGUGACAAAAUGUGGCUGAGGGCCUGAGACUCGAUACGUCAGGGGAUCCAAAGCAGACCAUAAGAACCAGGCAAGAAUAUCAAUUUUACUAGAGAUGCGAAACCCGAGGAGAGAAAGAAACGACAUAAGGUCCUUUUGGAGAGUAUUAUCACAGAUGUGAAUGUGAUGCGAUGCGACAAAAAAAGUGAAUGUGAUGCGGCUUCAGAGUAGAAUAUCGUGUUAGAUUGCAGAGGCGAUGAACCACCAUCACAUCAUUGACUCUUUAAGUAUACGCUAUAUUUACCUGGAUUAUCUGGGAUUAACACACGAUAGUAUCACAAGCUUACUUCCAGUUCUGCCCCAACAAUGAAAGAAUCCAAACGGGGUUAAGGCUCAACCUACUGAAAAGAAUUCAAUGUUCCGGGAUAGGGGAUUCUCUUACUGAGGCCCAAAUAGAUUGGCUCUUUAAGUAAUUAUCUCAACCCUAACAAUUAAGAAUGUCUAGGCAUUUUCAUUGCUACCGUGGUUAACCCCAGGAUUCCAACUUCAAUCACCAAAAAUCACCACAGGAGCAUAUUCCUUUCCGGAAAUGGUGGAACCUCAAGUUAUCCCUAACAACUAUCUCCCUGCUCGUGAGCUGAGAUGCUCUGCUCAUUACAGAGUGGCAGUCCUCACAUAUUCUCAGGUUCUUGGUGAUUCUGAUAACACAAUUAGCACUUGUAGUUAGCAGGGAAUACGCCAAAGCGAGCUUUUCACUAUGCGUUAGAAGGAUCCGCUCCUUUUCUUCAUCACUUACAUCAUAAGGAGCAGAACUUAGUAUUGGCUGAUAGCCAUGGACCUUUAGUCUCUUAAGAAGAUCCUGUAGUGUCUGCUUAAUCAAUUUAGACUCUGGAUGAAUCGUGUCAUCAGAAUAGAAGUUGUGAAGUCCCCCAUUUUCAUCUUCAACCAUGCUAAGUGAAGGAGUUUUUAUUAAACGUUUUGCUCUUAUCAACUUCCUUACUCUUGAAACAUCUUCCCACCUUCCAGCUGAAGCAUAGAUAUGGGAAAGCAAGACAUAGUUUCCAAUACCAUCAGGUUCAAGUUGAAACAGUUGCUUAGCAGCUAUUUCAGCAACCUUAGGAUUUCUAUGAAUUCGGCAAGCUCCUAGCAAGGCUCCCCAAAUGCUGCCAUUGGGCUCUAUUGGCAUCGUUUGAAUAAGUUCCAGUGCUUCUUCCAGUCUUCCAGCUCUGCCAAGGAGAUCAAUCAUGCAAGUAUAGUGGUCAACAGACGGCUUAAUACCACAACCAUUCUUCAUCAUUCCAAAGAAAUGCUGACCUUGUUCUACCAAGCCUGCAUGACUACAUGCGGCAAGGACCCCGACAAAAGUCACCUUAUUAGGCUUCACCUCAACCUUCAUCAUCUUCUCAAACAACUCUAUUGCUUCUCUAGCACAUCCGUGCAUUGCAAACCCACCAAUCAUUGAACUAUAAGAGAAAACAUUUCGAUCCUUCAUACUCUCAAAAACCUUAAAUGCAUCCUCCACACUCCCACACUUCGAGUACAUAUCAAUUAAUGCCGACCCAACAAGGACAUUAUCCGUAAGUCCAAAUCCUGACUUCUCUGCAAAAUCCCGGACCCAAUUUGCGUACUUGAUUGCACCCAAUUGAGCACAAGCUGAAAUAACACUAGACAAGGUCACUUCAUCCGUGUUUACCCCAGAAUUCUGCAUUUUCUCAAAGUACUCUAACGCUUCCUUAGGCUGAGCAUUCUGUGCAAACCCUGUCACCAUCGCGGUCCAUGCCACCAUAUCCUUCACAGGAAGCCUAUCAAACAACUCGCUUGCCGCCACCAUAUCCCCGCUCUUCGCAUAUGCAACGAUCAAAGCUGUAAAAGAAAUGACGUCCCUCGUGGGCAAUUCAUCAAAUACCCUCCUAGCAAAAUCCAAGCACCCACAUUUUACAUACAUAUCAAUCAACGUAUUUCCCACAAAUAAAUCCUGGACAAACCCACCAAUCUUCAAGCUUUGCCCAUGAAUUUGCCUGCCCAAAUCCACAUUCAACACGCCAGUACAAGCCUUCAACAAUGCCGUAAAAGUAAAUGAAACGGGCAAAAUAUCAUCCCUCCUCAUUUGGCCAUACAAAAAUACGGCCUUUUCUAGUGGCCCCUGAACAGAAUAACCGCGGAUAAUUGCUGUAUAGAGAAAAGGGUUGGGGCAAUAUACCUGGCUGAAGAUCAGACGGGCGUAAGUAUCGAUGGGGGUAUUGAGUUUGCAGAGCACCCGAACGAGUUUUGUUAGGAGGAAGCUGCAUUGGUCGAGACCUUUUCUGAUGAUAUGAGCGUGGACUCUCUUGAUUUCUGUGAGACUAAUGCAGGAAUCGAGGAUUGAGACGAGCUGGGCUUCUAGAAGCUUUGUUUCUUGAAGCUUAGAGACGGGAAUGAAGGGUUCUUGGAGGUCCAGAGCUGGAGCUUUCGGUUCGUAGAAUUGGGGGAUGAGAAUUGCAGGGCGUCUAAGGGUUUUAAUCAGCUUCUUGGAAAGUGAAACCAUCACAUAUUUUGCACAGAAUUUGUGGACUAGAAGUGGCCGUUUGGGGAUGCAGAAGAGAGUGAAUUUUGUGUUGGCGCCAAAUAACAGCAAUCUGUUGUUAAAUUUGAGAGUAAACAAGAGGGUGUAGUCGUCAGCGCAAGGUAGUGAAGAAUUGACGCUACUAAUUGCCAAACCAAUUUUCUUUUUCUUUUUAUUGUUAUGCUUAGAUAAUAUGUAGAUAAUGAAAACUUGUAAUUUAUCUGCAUGAAGCAUAAUGAUUAUUAUAUGUUUACUUCAACAAAACUAAAGUUGUGAUAGUAAAAUAUUUGAAAAUUUUUUUUUUAAAAAAUAUUAUAACACUUUUUUUUUUUAUAUGAAGUAUGCGACAUAUAAGAAAUAAUAAAAAAAAAAUGCGUUAAUAAUGCCCAUAAAUACAAACAAGCCCAGUUCCGUAAACAUCUUCAAAACGUUGUGAAGAUAUUUAUAUUUCUGAGUUGGAUGCGCUUUAAACGGUUUAAUAAACCAACCACCAAAAAGAUAAAGGCCUCAUGAAAAAGACAACCAUAUAUAAGUUACUCGUGCAACAAAUGUUCAUCAUCGGGGCCUGUUUAUGAUAGUAAUUGGUAAAAGAAGAAAAGAACAGGAAAAUUUGCAGAGGGAAAAGGAGGUUAGUUAAUUAGUAGGGGCACUAAUCAUAUAGCAAAUAAUCGGCUUUCAUAUGACUAACCAACAUCAUACAGCAUAUAUAUAUUUUGACAAACCUACUAAUGAUGUACAGCUCAAACAAAAAAAUACCAAAGGUUUUCACUACCAUAAUGAGCAGCAGCAGAUUAGUGUGCUUUCUGGUGUGCCUUGACGUUCCGAAGCACAUCCUUCAGAACCGCUGCAAUUCUUUGCUCCAUAUGGCGUUCUAAAAACCUUUCUUUCACCCUCUCAUAGCCUCUCUUCCCCAUCGUCAGUCUCCUUUCAACAUGAGUAGCAAGUUUAACCAUAUUUCUCGCAAGAGGCAUUACUCCCUGUUUCCCUACCGGAUGCAGAAGACCUGUUGAUCCAUUCACCACAAUUUCUUGAGUGCCACCUGCUGCUGUUCCCUGAAAAUCAAGCCAUAAUCAAGCAGUCAUAAGAUAACCUAUACUCUGAAUCAACCGAAUGUCCUCAAGAAUAUAGAAGAGCUAAAAUCUCAUGCAUUUUUUACUGGAACAGAUGUCAGAGAUUCAGGGCAACCAUACCAGUACGGGUAACUGAAAUGCCAUGGCUUCAAUUGUUAUCCUCCCAAAGCACUCACCUCGUGCCUACAUGGAGGGAUGAGGAUGUAGAUAUUAGUACCGACACCGAGACCGAGAUCAAGAUACAUUUCACAAACACCCUAAAAAAGUCGUACAAAAUAGCAGACAAACUUGUUUCACAAUGAGAUUUUUAAAUUGUUAACAAAUUCACAACUAUGGUUCUCUUUGAGUCCUCCCUUAAUUGCAUGACGUCAUUUGUAGAAUUCAAAUCUAACAAAAGCAUGUAGAAUCACAUGCUCAUGGGUUGCAAAUCAAACAGGAAUAAAAUUUUUGGGAAAAUAUAUCUACACUAUAUACUGGACUCAUCUUUCAUUUGAAAUGAGAACUUAAUUUUACCACUACUGGACCCAUAUUUAGGCAAAAGGGAAGAGGGGGAAAUAAAAACAUCAAAAGUGAGCUCAGCAAUUGAAGUUCUAAGAAUGCAAUAAGUCGGCUAGUGUAGCUUUUCAACUGCCCAGGCAAAAAGGACCCACGAGAGAAAAAAUCUUUCCAGUGUUUGGUGCAAAAGGAAAAUGCGAUCAAAUUGACCUUUUACUACUUUUGCUACAUAGAACGUGCCUUUUUUGUGCAAUUUAUGACAUUAAACCGAAAAAGCUUCCAGCCAGCCUUCUAAAUAUUUGAAUAGGUUUUUUUAUUAAAUUUGAUUGGCAAUGGCAUGUUACAAUGUUCAGUAAAACAUACAGAACUUACAAAAUAAUAAUUAGGAACAGGUCACAAUUCCAAAUAACUUUCUCCUAUCUAGGACAUGGUGGAUAUGGUUUUUCUAACAAUUUUUUAAGAUUGUCGGCCGUGCAGUUUCUCUAAAUUAUACAUGUAUUUGGAGAAAAUAAAUAGAUAACAAAUACUGAAUGUGCAUGGGGGCAAAAGAACGUAAAUUGCAGCCAGAGAUUUGCAAAGUUAACAGCGGCAGCAGAUAAAAAUGAUUUACCUGAGAAUUCUGGACAAGAACAUCAAUUGCAGCAAGAUAAGGAGCUACAGCCAGAGUCUUAUUAACGAAAUGAACAUGACCCUGAAUCUUUUUAGAUUCAACAAAGGCCCUCAGCUCAGACUCAAAUUUGCUUUGAGCAUUUACAUCACUCCCCACAAUUGCAGCGUGUAUAGGUGGCACUUGUAGCUUCUGGUGCUUGAUGUAUAUUAGGCUCUCGUGAAAAGAAUUCAGAAACAAAUCUUGUCCUUUUCCACGAGAAACACCUACAGCAUUACAACCACCAAACCAUCAAACAAAAAUAAAAAUAAAAGCAUGAAUAUUUACUUAGCAAGUCUUAUAAGCAGAACAGACAAAAUAUUCACUGUCGGUGAUUUGCAAACAUCAGUACAACCUCCUCAUACAAAUAUGCCAAUAAGUAAAAAGAUCAUUUAUACAUAGAAGACUUGCAAAAUGAAGAUGCCCAAUAAAUCAAGUUAAGCCAAAAAAAAAAAAACUGGGUGAGUAUUCAUGAUUCUGAUCCUUUCAGGAAUCAAGCAUACUUGGUUGACGACCUCACUUACGGAGGCACCUCUGCAUUUGGUGGAAAGUACAAGACUAAUAUGCAAGGUGAGGAUCACAGGACUUAAAUCUUGACAAAAAUCAGGAAAGCUCACAGAGGGAGGGAAGCUGAAGCGACUGUUGAUGUGCAAGAAUUGAUAGAUGAUGAAUGUGAAGAAGAUUAUCAGACUUUCCUUGACCAUUUAAACUUUAAUGGCGAAAAAAUGGUUCUGAAAUACAAAAAGUCGAUGCCUUAUAUAUGACGGGGAACUAAAUGUCCAAACUCAACUCCGUGCAGUGUGUGUGUGUAUAUAUAUCCUUAAUUAUGAAUGCAACAGGAAGAAAAAUUCAUCCUAACGUGUCUAAAGCUCAUGAUUUCUUCUUAAUUUACCACAGCAGUUGUUUAAAUACAAUAUCAAGUCAGUCUCUCAAACAAGCUUAAAAACUCCAAAAAACAUUGUGGAACAACCUCCCCUAUACUAAACCAAAUCUCAAAUUCUUCUCACAAAAACAGCCCCCAGGUUCAACGGAAGCAUAAGGACCCCAAACAACCUCCAAAAAAAUAUGUAAAAAAAACACAUAAAAACAUUUUUUAAAAAAAAUGGACCCCAAACAACCUCCAAAAAAAUAUGUAAAAAAAACACAUAAAAACAUUUUUUAAAAAAAAUGAAAGUUAGUGCAUACUAUUUAUGAUGGCAAAAAGUAUAUCUUCAUUCUGAACCCCAAGAGAUUCACGAACAUGCUCCCGCAAAACCCUUUUUGCCACAGUAUCCUCAGCAACUUCCAUAAGUUCUUUACUGUUCCCAAGAUGAACAACAUAUGUUUUGGGCAUUUUGAUCCUAUAAGAGAUUGACAAAUACAGUUAAGAACAGUCAGAAUGAUGAAAAAUUGAGAUCGAGGGAAUAAUGUUGGACAGUAAACAUUGCCAUGAGAGAAACACACGAUCAAUAGUCAGAAAUCUUAAUUGCCCAUGUCAACCAAAUUUGUCCCUUACAUCUACAGGUUAUGGCCUUUUUUAAGACUACAUCCAUUUAGACCAGAAUUUUCUAGAAGUUUUCUGUAUCCUCAAAGAGAUAAAAAAAAAAAAAGGCACAGAUCAUGAUGGAUGCAUAGCUAAGUUUGAACCAGCUGCUUACCACAUCAGAAGUCUCAACCAUAAAAACCUUCCUCCUUUGAAGAUUAAAUUAAUAGAAAAUCGAUAUUAACCAUUCACCAAGCCAUACAAAGGAAUCAAUUCCCCCAAACAUUCACUGUUAAGGCUCCAAUUAUGAAAUUCAGCAACUCAAGAAUCUACUUUUCAAAAUUUUUGAGAUUAACACUGCAGCAUAAAUAAAUAUGCAUAGUAACAUUAUUAUGAAAAAACAUUUUAAUCGAUUUCAUCAAGUCAUCCCGACUUAAGGUGCUGCACAUGACUUGCAACACACUUGCACCUUCAUCCCCAUCUUGCCCCUUGCAAUAUCUUCAUGGACUAAAAUGUCAAUCAUGAACUCUAAUUCUCAUUGUCUUACUUUAAUUAUUUGUUAUCACAUCAGCUAAUUCAUCCAGAGAAUAAAAAAAUGAAACAUAGCAAAAAUAAAACAAGAGAAUCGGAGGUUGCAUAGCACUCCAGUUUUCUUGUUCUACCAGCUGAUCUUUACCAUAAGAAGAUUAGAAGUCCUUUGCUGGUAAGUUGUUAUUAAGAUACUUUUCCAAUUUCUAGCAAAAAUGAUAUGAAUGUUAACUGUCCUCCGCUAAAAUUCUCACACACUUCUAUAUCACAGUGCAAUAUAAGAACUGAGAAAAUCAGCAUAACUACCUUCUAUCUUGAUAAUUGACAAGAGCAAGAACAUUAUUUGUGUCAGGCAAGCUAGUAGUGGCAUAUCUUGGGAAGCACCUAGGGUUGUUCAACCUUGUACAUACACCUAGGGCUGAAAACUGUACUAAUCAUACAUCAUCACAACACGCUAAUGCAGUGAUCAACAUAUAAUGCAUGAGUUCAAAUAGUAAAGAAAAAAAACAAACAUAGAGCUUUGUGCAUGUUGGAAGCUGCAUUAAAUAGGAGGCCACUAAAAGAAGUAAGGAAUGACAUACAUAGAUGCCUACCUUAAUCGCUCCUGUGUCCUAUUCUUCCAGUAUUCUGCUGUGACAUGUGAAUCUAUCAUUGCACCAGCAACAAAUGGAAGGUGUUUUACAUAAUCCAAACUGAAGUAAUGGCCCCGCAUUUCAUGGAUCCACCACAAAGUUUUGGGGAGAACAAGAUGAACUUUUUCCUUAAGAACAGCAUCCAACCACUUUCCAGCCACAGCAGUGUUCAAAACCACCAGAUCUGCUUUCAGUGCUAUAUUUACGGCCUCUUGGCUUCUCGCCGAGACAAUCUGAGAUGUAAAAGGGGAAAAGGUGAGCAUACUGCUCAACAGUGUUUGAACCUCAUAAAAUUAGCAACCAAUGCAUCAAGUAUUUAGAAAAAUUGAUUCGUGUUGAUAAGGCUGCAUCUUAUCCAUCAUAAAAUUUUAUUUACCAGAAACAAUUAUAUUCGUGCAGAACGGAAAUCUUUAUUACCGUAACAUAUACUGAACCUUGUCACAUUAGGAAUGGAGAAAAUAACGCUGGCAAAUUCAUGGAUUAAUUACCUGAUAUAUCAAGCGUAUUGAAAAAAAAUGCAAAGCAUUUUGUUGAAAUGGAAGGGGGAGGGAGAGUGAUUGAACCAAUUGAAUACAUAUACCUUUUUCCUCUUUGUAAAAUUAUAUACAGAUGUUUGCCACUGAGCUGACAGAAACGAUAUGACUAACUAAAUAUAACAUUAGCAAACUCGAGAACAUCGAGCUCCAUGCAUUACUUUAGCAGGAAACCAUGACGAAAACUUUGACAAACAGGUUAAAAACUAAAGAGGCAAAGACUGCAUCCCUCAACAAGUAGACUCGCAAGAACUGUGAGAUUUCAUUGUCAAAAGAUUUAAGGAAUAAAAUAUGGAAAUAAAGAAGAUAGAUAUUGCAAAAAGAGCCAUGUAAGGUAGCUGAUUAUAAGCACAGAAAGAUUUUGCAACCUGCACUCCUCGAGUUAACAUUUUGUGCUCCAAACUGUAGAUGACACUGUCUGUUCCUGAUGGUCUCUGGUUUGUAAUCCAUUGAACAUCAGCACCAACACCUCGUAACAGAAAAGCCAGUUCCAUCAGCAACAAUGGUCCACCUACAGUGUGUUUCAGUAAAUGGAUUAGCUAGAGAUAAAGUUACAGAGAUACUAAUAAAUGACCGAAAGCCAGUAACUUGAAUAAAAGACCAACAUUAACCAAUCAAAGCUGAUUAAAAGACUGAUUAAAAGACAUGAUAGGUCACAUUUCCAGAAGGUUUAUAUUGUGGGAGGUGACAAGAAUAAGCAUAGAAUGAUUCUGUUGCAGGGGCACACUUAACCAUAUUCCAGAUGUUUUUAGAGGACCUAAAUGGAAUAACUUUAAAAAAUAUCACUUAAGGCUGAAGAGCUGGUUUAGAAUACAUAUUGUUUCCAUGUUAUUGCUAUGGGUUUUAAGUCUCUCAUUUGUUCAUGUAGAACCCAUCAAAGGAACUGAAAGCUAUUAUUAUACCUGUCACUUUCAUAAUGUUGCUUCUAGGAUUUAUUAUCCAGCAACUUCUGCCUACACACUUUACUUUUGAACAACCCCCUAUAAUCUCCAUUCCUGGGCAUUUACCUAUAUCCCUUUAUAUCCUUUAUUUACCAUUUCUGUUGCAAUUACUGCAAAUUGCACUAUUAAGAAAGUCGCAAUGGCAAUUUAUCACUUAAAACUUCAACAAACAAUCACUUAUGUGGUAUCAUAUCAAUACCUUCAUUUGGUUGUAACUUCUUCCCUAAGCGUACAUAGCCAGUCCAGAUUAUCACAUAAAAUCUCAUGCUAUCUUUUUCAAGAAACAUACACUUUAUGCCAGUUCACAAACUGAAAAAAAAAAAAAGAGGUAAUGAAACUCUAACAAAAUCGAAUGAAGCACGGAAGUUGCCAGAGAAAAAAAGACGGUUCACCAGGACAUACAGAAUCAUAUCUCUAGUAUCCUCUACUCAGAGCCCAAGUUUUGCUAGACCAAGACCUCAGUACUAAAUGUGCAUGAUAUCAAUGGCAAUCCAUGCAUCAGCAAACGGUAACUGGAUGGCUUGAAAUUACAUGCUGUUAACAACAUCAGCCUUUUUCUCCUUGAAUUUUUCAUCUCUUACCUCCUAUAUAUCAUUUUUUUCCUACCUGACCUGUUAUCCAUCUUUGAUCAAUACAAUAUAAUUUCCACUUGAAGGAAAAAGUUUUGCUGGAUACAUAUAUGUAAUGCACCAGCUAAAGAAUUACUACUUGGCUAAAUUUGCAAUAUAUCAAUAACAGCACCACAACUCAAAAUCAACAUUGAGUUAAUUUUCUAAUGAGAGAUGAAAAUAACAGAGGGGAAGGGGCAAGCUCUUCUUACAAGAUACCUAAAAAAACUCCAGUAACUCGAAUUGAAUCAUUAAAUAUACAUAAUUCAGAUUCUUGAGGAAACAAAAAAGAGUUCUCUUUUUUUUUUUUGGUUCUUUUGUUGAAGAAGAGACGGACCUGAAAGAGAAAGCUCAUGAGAGACAAGAAGCACGAGCUUAGACUUCAUAAAACUAAGUGGGCUGGGAGACGGAGCUGCGGUAACAAAAGGCGGCCGCAGCGGUGGCGGUGAGACGGAGCUGAACUUCUUCUGGGAAGGCACAGCCACAUCGUGACGGCAAUCACAAGGGGUAGAAUCCACGCCGAUGCCGGACCUGAUAAUCAAAGCAACAGAAAACAUCACCAGCACCAUAAUUAACAUCAUCCACCGCUUCCUGAGGAAAACAGAAGCCACGGAGGAGGACGACGGCGUCGGGUUGUGCUUGGCCAUCUCCGCCACUAGCAGUGCUUACACAAGCAACAAUGUUAGGGAUUGAUGAGGGAAUGAAAGGCGGGACUAAUGGGUUAACUUUUUCAGGCAUUUUAAGGGUGGGAUUUCUGGUGGGGAUAGGUGAAUGGGAGAGAACAUUUGUCACUUGAGAUAUGGGAAAAGUGAUGCCUCAUCACUUUUUUUUCUUUAAUUUUUCUUUUAACUUCCUGGGCCUGGGGUUUUUGGCUGGGUUUUUCCCAUGUGGAAGGGAAUUGAACUUUUUUUUUUUUGUCUGGGUAUGGAAAGAAUUUUGGUAUUCAACUUUCGCUUUCCCACUUCGAGCAGUAGAAGACGAGACGAGGAUAGGCACUGCACUUAAUUAGGCUGUGUUUUAAUUGCACACAUUCGCUUGCUCUGCCCAUCACCAUCAAUUUUGUGGUCUGAUGAUGAGAAAGACAAACUGCGUCUCUUGACCGAAAUGCCCCGUCAUUAUGUUGCAUCUGUGCCUCGAAGGAGUGAUGUUAUGACAUGUUUAGGUACCUUGGCUUAAUUUGGCAAUCAACACGAAUCAAUAUUUAUAUUUUUAGGAGAUUGCGGCCUUGCUUUUGGUUGUUUUAGACUUUACAAAAUUUAAAUUAUAAAAAUUGAUUAUAAAAUAAUUAAAAUUAGUAAAAACUGCAUUUUAGGUGAUUAUAGAUUCUAACUUUUUAAAUCAUUAAAAAAUUUAUAAUCAAAAUGCAAAAGUAACAGAAAACAUUAGAAAAAUUGAUUCAAAAUUUAUAAUUAAUUAAAAUAAAUUCAACCACGAACAAGUCUACGAUACUAUAUAUUUGUUCAAAAGUUACAUUGGUUGACUUUUUAUUUUUUAUUAUAGUGAUUGUUAUGUAGUAAAUUUGUUUACUCUUUUUUCGAGUAGAUGUUCCUUAUUAAUUGAUACUUGUAAUUAGCAUCAUAAUAGUUUUAUCAACUUUCAUCUCUCACAUCCAAUCUUUUUUUCCUUUUAAAUAACGAUUAAUUUAUAUGAAUUGGUCAUUAUUUUUUAAAUUUUUUUUGAUUAUGUUAUAAAUAUAACCUCUAAUUAUUUAUUUAUCAUUCCAAUGAUUUUUUAUUUAAUGUAUAUCAUACUACAAACAUGCUAUAGUGUUUUUUAAUAAAUAAUAUUCCAUCAAAAAUAUUUGGAUACAAAUUACUAAACCGUUUUAGUAGAAUUGUUAUAGAUGUUAUUGGACAGAAUUGUUAUAAAGUAGUUCUUCAAACUAACACGUGUGACAAAAAAAUUUUGGUCAAUUGUAAAUUUUCUUAAUCCUAACAUCAUAAAAAGUUUUAAAAAUUGUUUAAAAAAUUGUUUACUUGCCAAUGUAUAUAUAAAUAAUAUAUCACAUUUUCUUGAACACCAAAAUAGACAACAGCUACUAUUACAACUAUUUGCUUGUGUUUAUGCAUAGAUUCGUUAGUUGAUCUUCAUUCACUUAUUUAGAAAGAAAUAAUAAAGCCUGGUCAAACCAAAAAAUAAAAAGUUUGGGCAGUAUAGUCAUUUUGAUUGUCAGGAGGUUAUCUGAUGCAUCGUUCUAGGGGGGUUAUACGCCUUGGCUGGAACCGGACAGGCGUCUCUGGUUUGUCCGAGACGAAGGAGAAGAAGCAGCAGCUGAGCUGACUAAUGAGUAAUGACCAUGACAAACCCAUCAACAGCUUCUGCUAACUCUAUGCGUCAUUUAUUAAUCGCUGUAAUCGGAGGUAAUCAUUUAAUAGCAGCUCUAAAUCAACAUUUAAAGUUUCUUCUAAUCUCGAAGCAUUAUUGGUUUUUUCCUCUGGUUUUGAGUAUUUGUAAUAACUCAUACUUUUGUCGUCCUUUUUGCCUUUUGGGUUUUGUUCAGCAGUGGUCUUUCAUGCUCUGGAAGCUGUUUCAGUGGUUGUACCAAGUACCAAUUGCUAUGCCCUAGACAAUUCCAGUCGCAUUUAUGAUUUUGUAUCCUGUUAUAUUAAAUAAAGUUGCCCACUUUAAAUCUUGUUAUCUCUCAUUAUUAAUUCCCAUUAACGUAUGAUUACCUUAAGUAAUUAUUUGGAGUAAUUACGUCAUGAAGCUUUCCGUGCACUAUUUGUUUUCUCUCAAGUGAUGAGUAGAGCAGCUGGAUCGGAUACCCUUUUCAGUAUGAUGGGAAGGUAAUUUGUUCUAAGCUUUGCUCUGCUAUAUGAUGCAUAUAUAGGUCAUAAUCUGAAGGGCUAGAUAUCUAAUGGUUCCAAAUAUAUGCAGGAAGCUGACUUGGUCGUGAGAUUUUGUAAAGAUGUCGAGACUAGAUCACAAGCGGUACUAUUGAACUUAUCUUAUUUGUCUAACUAUGAGAGCAAUAAUUAGACAGUUAAUAUUUCAGGGUCGAUAAUUGAAUUGGACCCUUUUGUUUGCUAUUCUAUGUAUGCUUAUUUGCUUGCAUAUCUGAUGCUGCAGAAAUGGCUGAACUGAAUUUGAUUAUUGUACUUGUGACUGUAAACCGGCAGGGAUAUGUGGAUUUUGGCAGAUUUGACAAGUUAAAUCAGUUUGUUGCUGCUUCUGGAAAUUUUAAGUUUGUUCAAGUAAGCUGUGAUUGCUGACCCAGGUUCUUAACAGUUUAUCUCUUAAGCUGGAAUAGGUGACUGUUUGUUUGGUUCUAGUUCUCAAAUCUCCUGUCUGAGGUCAUAAAUACAGUCCACAGUUGCCUGAAUAGUCCUUACACUUGUUCGCUUAGUUGUGCUGCAAUUGAUCCAUCUCAUUUAACUCAUUAUGUAUGAUUACCAAGAUAGGUAGAUUAGCCUAUCCAGUAUGCCUUGCUGAUGAAAUCCUAGAUGUGGAAUUGGACUAACAUAAGCAAAUUUAAAGUUUUUUCUCACUGUAUACAGUCAUUAUGUGUGCAUAGCCUUUGUGGAUAGUGAAUGUGUUCUGAUUUGCUUUGCUCUUCUGAACAUUCAGCAAUAUUAUAAUGGUGACUUAACGAGCUGUGAGCAAAGUUUUGAUAAAUUGGGACGCACAGCACAGGUCAGAUCCAUUGAUACAAUUAUUAGUUACAAUGUGUUUUUGUAACUUUGAUUGCAUUCUUUAAAAUUUCAGUUUUAAUAGCAUGCCAACUGCUCUUAAGGAACGUUUUAAAAGUUUGUUCUUGUAAAUUUUUCAGGUCAGCAUCAUAUGCGGAAGUUGCCCAAAUGGGCAAUGUAAAGGUACUGAAAUAUUGCAUGUUAAGAAAGUUAGCGCAUUCUUGACAGAGUCGUUCUAUUUGGUUGUACCUUAGCAUACAUUAAAUUUGCUAAUGUUGUCAACAUGAAGAGUCUUUUUGCCUUGAACGGGUUUCAGAAAUGGUCUUACCACGGUGCUAUAAAGAUAUUCCCAGAAGACUACCUUUCUAGCAUAUUCAUUUUACUUGUUACUACUCUAUAAAGAUUUCAGUACCUUCUGCAAACUAUCAUACAUCAUAACUUACACUACAUAAAUCAGCACUUAAUGCACAUGAGGUAUAAACUUCAGUGAAUAUCUUUGCCAGAUUCAAGAUAACCAAUAUUUGAGGAUUUUUUUUCUGUUUAUUCGUUUUCCUUUUCUCCUAAGUUGAUUCCUAUGAAAGCUGGACCAUGGUGUACUUCUAGACUAUCAUGUUAUGGCUAUGGAUUUUGUUCAUCUAUUUUUGUUUUCUUCCCAAGGCUGCUAAUGACUUGUUGCAGAAUGGAUGAUAGCUUGUUUUAGUGAUGCUUUUAUUUUCUAUUGUGUGCUGAUGUGUAACUGCAUUAAACCCUGCUGCAAAGAGAAAAUGGAGAGAUGCAUAGUGUUAGCAGAAUAAUAUGUUUAUGGAUUGCAGCCCUUGAGUUUUAUAUUUAGAGUUUCCUGUGGUUUAUAAAUUUUCUAAAAUUUAUCUCAGGUGGUCUUGGAUGCAUAUGUGAUGUGACGUAUGAGUCAAAUUGCAGGUUUUUCUCAUGAUCUCCUGCUAUUUAGCUUUUCCAUUUGUUGGCUUUACAUGCAUUAUACAUAGCUGUUUCUGUUAAGGCAGUGCUCUUGUUGAACUUGCCAUUCCAUGCGAGAAACCGGGAGCACGAGUAUUUGAAGGCUAUACAGUUGGUUUUCAUCCACGUUCAUGGGAGAUUGUAAGAAGUUUCUCUUAUUCUCAGUGACAAGUGAAUAAUAUUUCAACUUUGAGUAAUUGAUGUAUGGAAUCCUUAGGUGUACAAUGGCAUGACUCAAUUAGGUUUUGAAAAGGCUCACAGCGAAUUCAGGUACUGAUUUUUCAGCUUUUGCCAUUUGCUAUCUCUUUUUUCAUUAUUCUGCAGUCUGCAGUGAUCGUAAAGGAAAUAAGUCCAGAAAGUAUAAAAUUUUUAACUUGGUCAUAUGUUUCCUUUGCAAAUCUGGAUCUAUCAUACUUCAACUUCUUCUUGCCACACUGGUGGUUGUUUUACAUGAAGUUAGGUAUCUAUUGUUAGCUAAAUUUAAUCUCCUUCCUUAUCAGACUUAUGUUGUGAAAAAUAGAUGAUUGUAUAGGGGUACAAUGUCUAUCUACGGAUUUGUAUGAUAGAGUAUUUUGCCAAAUAAUUAUUUGGAAUAAUUACUGUAGCACUUUUUGUGAUGUAAUGUAUGUGAGAUAAAAAGGUGGUUGGGAAUAUAAAAAGGUAGAUUGGGAAAUGUGUCUAUGAUGCAAGCGAAAAAUUUUUUGGAAAAAUUUGUUAGCCAUACAAAGCCGUAGGAUCUAGCAUCUAUUAGCAUAUUAUUGGGGUAUAAAUGAGGUGAUUGGUGUGGUUUAUACAUGUUGUAGGGAUGUUUGGGUAGAGACAUCACUUUUGGUGAUUAAUCUUACAUAGUGCUGCUCUUUGAGGAUUAAUUCAUAGUAUGGGCUUCAAUGACUUCUGUAUCUCAAUGAGAAACAAGAAAGAGCAUUGAAGGCUAUAUUAUCAUCCAUAGAAUUGAUUUCUAAGGACAACCAUGUUGGGUGGCUGUUACUGGCUAAAUAUUGGAUACUUGAGAUAUAAAGAGUUAAGCUACCCUUGUGGCAUUGUUCUUUUCUUUCAACUUUAGGAAAGUAGAGAAUUUGGCUUUGACAAGAUUCCGAAUUAAUGUCUUGGCCACUGUGAAGUGCUCCACACUAUGACCAACUUUCUUACCAAUCUAAGAAAUGUAACUAGAUCAGGUGCUUACAUCAAUCACUCCAUUGUUUUCCUUGUUUUAUUGCAGCUUGAGCACAGAACAAACUCAUGUAGCCCUUUACAUGACAGCAGUUGCUUCUCAAUCUCAUUUAGUGCAAAAACCAACAAUUAAGGUAAUUAAAUUUAUGCUGAUGUACGUGGAUGUGUUUCAACAGAAUGGUUUUGAAAUUUGGUAUGAUUUCCAAUCUUCUAGGUUUUCCCGGAGCAAGGCUUGGAAAUUAAGCUUUCAGGUUCAGGAGCAACUGGUGGUGCACCAACAACACUAUCACCCACCGUUUUAACCAUAGAUUGGACAUGUAUACAUUAUAAUAGCAUCUUUCCAUUAAGUCAAGCAGAGAUUCAUGCACAGUAUCUGCAUAACAAUUUGAGCUCUACUCUUGUUCCUCUAAACUUCUACUUUGCAUUUUUCAGGCACGGAGGCUCGUGAUGUGCCAUAUGAAGUUGAAGUCACCAUCCCAAUAGAGAAUUACGAUCCUAUUCUGUUUACUCUAGCAAAAACCUGUGGUAUAUAUCAUGGGGACAUCAUACAUGCAUGUUUAUGAGCAUAGCUCAGACGAUUUGAGUAUAGACAUGUACCAAUACACAACCAUGCAUUUUUCAUGUUUAUGCAAUUGAUAUAUGACCAUAUGGCACAUGCUUGUGUAUGUUCUUUUUCUUGCAUUUCUUAUUGAACUGUUUGCAAUUACAACUUCAUCUGUUUCCUUUCCCUCUUCAGCUAUUUGGUUUCAUUUCUGAAUAUUUUGUUUCUCGAUUAUAAAGUAUAUUCCAUAUUCCAGUACUUGCAAGUCAAACUCUUUGUUUAAUUUCAAAAUGAUAAUUGUAUUGCUGGUUUAUGUUUUCCGGAGUAGUACUUUCGUGUACAGUAGCUAUAACACCUGAUUCACAACUGUUCAAUAUUGCAGAAUAUGGGCAAAGUGAAGGUGUGGAUGCUACCAGUGGAUGGGCUAUAUUCGGGAUACUGUCGUGCAUGUAUGCUUAGCUACCUUUUUAGUGCUUGUUAUUUGAUUCUAAAAGUCUGACUGAGGCAAAUACUACCGAAAUUUAUUUUACUUUUUCCAUUUUGGUGCCUUUUCCCAGAGUUUUGUGUUCUAUACUAUAAUUUUACUUUCAAAUAUGCAUUACUUAGUGAUUUUUUUUUUUUUUUUUUUUAAUUUUGUUGAAGGGUGUACAAAUGGGAAUAGAUCCUUUUUUGCAUAACCCUGCUGUUCUCUUCCAAUUGAUAUUUGAAUAUGUCGGGUUGAUGCAGAUUCAUUGUUCUCUCAACAUUGUUCUGUGUCGGAGGGUUUGUCUAUAAGACACGAGUAGAAAACCAGGUAUCUUAGGGAAAAAGUUCUUCUUCUUUCGGAUCUGUGUCUGUGGAUUUGAUACAUUCUUUAUACUUAUUUACUUAAUAUGCAUCAUGUGUAGCAUGGACUUGAUGCUUUGCCCGGAAUGACAAUUUUAGCUGCAUGUUUGGAAACCGUAAGUCUUACUUAACAUCUUUCAGUAACUACUCUUGGAUUGGUUUGUUGAUCAAGCUGUUCUGUCCAUGGUCCAAAAUUUCAUACUUCCCUCCCCUUAUAUUCAAAUUGCAAAGGUCAAAUACCAGUACACCCACAGGCAACUCUCUGUUUUUUUGUAAAUGUCACAGGUCAGCGGAGCAGGGCAUUCCAAUAUACGUCGACCAGCGGAUGUUAAUGAUCCCUUCAUAAGUCAGGCUUCAUGGGAAAACCAUCCUCAAGGAACAACGAGAAGUAGAGACAAUAGAUAUGGGACAAUUUAAACUCGCACGCUUCAGCUUUUUGGAACAAUUUUGCAUACUGGUUCACAGGGAAAGUUUUGCCCUUUUCAGAGAGAAAUUCAUGCUGCAUUCCAAAAAUACCGGGUCUUCCUCCUAGGUCACAAACUCAAUAAACCGGGAGCAACAACUCGAAAAGAGACUAGGAUUUUGAUCCCUUCUCAGACGGUCAAACUUCAAUGUGAAGGAUACGUUAUUAUUGGCCGGCAUUCUCCACUUUCUUUGUCUGAGGGUGAUGAUUCAUUUGAUUUAACUAAGCCAUGCGACAAACGCCAAAAUAGAGGAUUAGCCAUCUCUUUUUCGUCUCCCUGUGCCUCUUUUUUAUACUACUACUAAAUGUAAUGUAACGAGUGUGUUUGGAUUUAAUUGAUAUGUCAGACAAAUUAGAGCGGCACUUCUCCUACCCCACCCAUAUUCAUAUCCUUUACUGGAUCAUUAACCUAAUUAGAGGUGGCAAUAAUUGGUUUUGACUUAACGGAUGGUGGAUGAAAUUUAUCCAAUCCAUUUAAUAAAUGGAUGGAUCUAAAUGGAUUAAAUAAAAAUUAAUUAUCCAUUUAAAUAUUAUUUAUUCAUUGGAGCAAUUGGUUUGUGCUUUGAUUUGUAUAAUUAUGGGAGGCUGCCCAUUUUUCUGCUAGGCCCUCUCCUUCAAGCAUUCGAUCCACAUCCGACAUCUUAGGCCGGUGGGCGGGGGAGGUAUUGAGUGCAAAGUAGAGCAACUUGGAGCAUCUCACCCACCUCAAUCCGGUCACAGUUGACAGCCAAUUCUCUAUCCCCCAAAACUUCAAUUUUAUUUGAUUUUUAAGUAAAUGGAUAUAUAUGGUUUUCAUGGAUAAUUCAUUUAAUUUAAUGGUUUUACUUUGAUCAACCAUUUAAAAUCAAUACUAUAAAUGGGAUAAUCCAAAUCCAUUUAAUUAUGGAUUAUAUGGAUGGAUAAAUGGAUUUCAAUCCAAAUUGCCACCUCUAAACCUAAUAUUCUGACCUCCUGUUUAGGACCGCUCCUCCAUUCUUGAUUCUCGAGGAGCCCAGCAGCAAAGGAACAUUUCCAAUAUCAAUGACACUUUUACGCGUCCAAAUCGAUGGGAACGUGUGUGCAUGAACCCAUGGUAAAGAUUGCCCGCAUACGUACAACACAAGGAUGGGCAUGGAUCCCCAGCUACCUUUACUUCUUUAUGCCGCUGAAUUUGAAUCCCGCCACACCAAAUAAUGAAAAUCAAACACGCAAUUUCACAUUAAAAUUUAGUCUCUGUUUUCCUUGCCAAGCUCCAUGUGCCUGUACAAAGAUAAAUUAUUUGCAAUCUCUUUUUUAUUCCAGCUCAUUUCAGCAGUCAAGAAUGAAUAAUUAAUGGACACCGACACAAUCUGUUAGGGGAACCAGCCAAUAAUGAUUUUUUUGAACCAUCCAAUACAUUUCGUCAACAGAGCAGGUACUUCUACUCCCACUCCGUUUUUCUCAAUGCCUGCUGUUUGUCAUCUUCUCACGUUUAUAGUAGCUUCAAACCGGGAGCAAAAACAAACAAUGCGUGCGGUUGGUUGACCGAAUCAACUCUCAAAUAUUUAACCUCUCCAAAACAUUUUCUUGCCAACGAAAUCCCAAUGAUGUUUCUGCCCUUAAUUCGAGGAUUACUUCAUUCUUGUAAGAGAAUCAAGAAAAUACAUCAUCGUUUUUUCCAAAUAUUUCAACAUAGUAUUACUUUUUAAGCCCAUAGCUAACGACGAACUAAAUUCCUAUCCUAUCCUAUCACUUUCAGCCAGAAAAUCACUUCCUGGAUGAACACUUAUUUACAAUUCAAUAAUUUUAACCUUUAGUUGCAAUUAUUGGUGCAUGAUUGCAAGACAAAUAUUCUACUGGAGACGUAAAAAAAAAAAGUCAGAUUGAUUGGACCACACAAACACACAUAACGGAUAGGAAUGACUUUUAGGGUGGUCAGGUAGCACGCAGGCUAGAGUAGAGGGCCGAUAUCAGCAAUCUGUACUGCGAUGGCAGUGAAACUGGAAAUCUGAUGCGGUAAAGCUGUCCGACAAUGUCUACGUCAAUUCAUUUCCAUGUGUUAAAAUUAGACAGCAAAUUAAUCGUGCUAUUCCAAAAGAUUAUUGCUUCACUAAACCAUCACAUGAACGAGUACUAAGCCUAACUAAAAUUCCACCAACUCCAUGAUUCUGUCUCCAAAUUUCGUUUCUUCUUCAUUUUUUUUUUCUCUUUUCUUUUGAAGUUUGUUCUAUAAAUAACCAUAUCAUCCAUCACAAACCUUGACAUAAAACGAACUCUCUACACAAUCUAAGCGUCCUUGUAGAAGUCUUCAACCUUUGGUCUCCAAGAGUAACAACAGAGAGUUAACGAAAAUGACUCGGCCCAUGAGCUUUCUGAUUAUUGCAGCUAUGCUAGCUUUUGCACCGCUUUGCUUGUGUGGUAUGACAAGCGGAGGCUACCUGUAUCCUCAGUUCUAUGACCGGACUUGCCCAAAAGCUAAAGAAAUUGUGUAUUCCAUCGUUGCGAAGGCCGUUGCCAGAGAAGCCCGUAUGGCUGCUUCAUUGAUUAGGCUCCAUUUCCAUGACUGUUUUGUCAAGGUUUGUGCAUGCAAACUCAUUUACUCAUCUUCAGCAGCACACCUACUUAUCGCUUAUUCAGUGAUUAAUACACUUGACUAACCAAUUCUUCUUCCUGUUUCUGUUCUCCCCUUUAUAAUAAGGGAUGUGAUGCAUCACUACUCCUCGAUAGCAGUGGAGCCAUAAUCAGCGAGAAGAUGUCGAAUCCAAACAGGAAUUCAGCCCGUGGAUUCGAAGUCAUUGAUGAAAUUAAGUCUGCAUUGGAGAAGGAAUGUCCUCAUACUGUCUCUUGUGCUGAUCUCCUGGCUCUUGCUGCUAGAGAUUCCACUGUUUUGGCAAGUAUCAAGUUCUUACUAGCAAAUGAAGUUAUAAUUACUGCAUCACUUUCAGGAGAGCUGAUGGUAAAUGCAUUAUGCAGUCUGGUGGACCAAGCUGGGAGGUACCAUUGGGAAGAAGAGACUCCAGAGGUGCCAGUUUGAGCGGAUCCAACAGCAACAUUCCUGCCCCAAAUAACACAUUUCAGACUAUUCUUACCAAGUUUAAGCUUCAAGGGCUUGACAUUGUUGAUCUUGUAGCAUUAUCUGGUAAUAUACCAAGCUGGCACAGUACACACAAACAAUAAUAUAAACUUCACUUGAAAGCCGGUAGAUGCCACUAGAUAAUGAUCAUAAUAAGUUAACUCCCACUUAAUUAUCCCUUUCCGUUUGAAAAUUUCAAAAAGGGAACCCAAAAAAAAGUAUGGGGGCUUUCAUAUAUGAAGUGCUCUGAUUGUCCUGCAGGAAGCCACACAAUCGGGAAUUCAAGAUGUACCAGCUUCAGGCAAAGGCUUUACAAUCAAUCAGGAAAUGGGCAGCCUGAUUUCACCUUAAAUCAGGCAUACGCGAACCAAUUGCGGACCAGGUGCCCAAGAUCGGGUGGUGACCAAAACCUGUUUGUCUUGGACUUUGUCACCCCAACAAAAUUCGAUAACAGCUACUUCAAGAACUUGCUGGCUUCAAAGGGCCUAUUAAAUUCUGACCAGGUUCUUGUGACCAAGAGUGCUGUAUCACUACAGUUGGUGAAACAAUACGCCCAGAAUAACCAACUCUUCUUUGAGCAAUUCCCCAAGUCCAUGCUCAAGAUGGCAAACAUUUCACCUUUGACAGGUUCCAAGGGUGAGAUCCGCAAGAACUGCAGGACGGUCAACUCUUAGUCUUAAGACUACGUAGUCAUAGCUGCCAAAAAACGGCAUGUCCUAAUCUUUCUGUCACUCAAGCAGUCAGCAUCCACCUAAUUCUCCUCUCAGCGGCCGGGAACACCUCAGCAGUCAGCACGGGAUCAUCCUAUCCGCUCUCAUCUUCCGCUACUUAUUUAUUUCAGCUUGUAUUAAUUUUCAUGGAGCUUUGGCCGCAAUUUGUUGUUGUCCUGAAUGAAUUUCAAUGCUUUUUCCUCUUUUGCAUUUUCCAAGUUUUCGUUUCUUCGGGUACCUGACAACUAUCAUCUCAAAUUGGGCACUUUGAACUUACCCGUGGCGGAUAAUCAAAACUUGAACUCUGGAUUCACAUGUUAGAACUUUGCCUAAUGCCUCCAAGGGCAAAUACGAGCCCAGGGACAUUUUUUUUGGUCGGAACGUACUCUUCAUCUUGGAUAAUGCCUAAUGCAUGGGCACCAAGAUACUUCUAUUCAUAUUGUCAUUUCUUGUGCAAAAGAAAGAGCACUUUAAGAACACAGAGCUAAGGGAAUGGAUGUCCUCCAUUAAUGCCACACAUCGAACUUCAGGGCAGUUUCUUUGCUGGAGGGCUUUGAUUAAAGCUUUGUUGCUUAUCCCUACUUUAACUUUCCUCCAGUUUUUUCCGAUUGCUUUCAUUAGGACCAGUCUAACUGCUUCUGCAUCAUCCUGCAUCGAACUCUUGGAUGUUCUUUCUAGUUAUCUAGUUAUUGUACGAAAAUUUGAUGUAACCGUGACAAAAUAGAGUUAUGUAGCUUUCGAGAUUGGAAGACUAUAAUUAAUUUGGAUUCUAAUGCAACCAUAUACUAUUUCCAGCGAAGAUAAUGUGGAACAAAACAUCGACAGAUAAGUAGGGAAGUCGAGGAAAACCGAACCUUGGCAUCUGCUAUAUAUAUAUAAUCCAGCUAGGAAGGCAAUAUUAGACACGCACAAAAACCAAAAUGCUGCAAUUUGGUGGAGAGCGCCUGGAUAACAGGUCAAAAGACCCUGGUUUCACAUUGCUACUAGCAGUAAGAUGAAAUGAGAAAAUUCGACUUUUCCAACAGUAAAAGAAAAACUUCACCAUCAAAGAUCAAGGUCAGAAACUUUAAUCAGCAAACUUGAUUUAAACUUCCCAUAGGAGUAUCUACCAGUAGAUUUUAACAAAUUGACUUCAGCAAUUCGUUAAUUUCUAACUAGUCUAGAGCUAGAAAUGCUGCAUGGAGCUCAACAUGGUAAAAAGUUAAAAGUCUAUCUACAGCAAAGGUGUCAUUAAACUUUUUUUACAAAUCAAGUUCAAUAAUAGUUUAAACAGCCUAGUAACGAGCAAAGCUGAACUACAGGAGUCCAUGCACAAGAGACUUUCGGCAGAAUCCACUUGCUUUCUCCUUCAGAUCCACAACCUUUUUAUCGAUCUCCUCAGCCUUGUUCUUCAUUGCUUCCAGCUCAACUUUUUCCAAAAAGAUCUUCUGUUGUAAGACACCCAGCUCUUCCUCCUUUCUUGCAAUCAACUCAAAGUUUCUAGUCCUUUCUUUCUUCAGGCUAAAAUAGUCCCCAAGUAUAUGUUUAGCAUAAGAAAUUUCAUCUAUCUUCUGAUGGAGCCACUUGACAUCCAGCUUCAUGCACUCAAGAUCAUGAAUUAGAUGAAGCAAGUUAUUGAGCUCAAAAGAUGUAAUAUCAAGAAAUGCAGAGUUUUCGAGCUUUUGGUAGAUACCACAGACCAUUUCAAGGAAGAUUCCACGGGUUUUUGGAGACUCCAGAAUGGAGUUUUUAGCAAUGUCACCAUAUUUUGCAAAGAUAGCCCUAAGUAGGGGUGCGACUUCUUGGUUCACUCUAUACUGAUGUACUGUCACCAAAGCAGGAUCAAUUGCUGACUCGACCCCCUCAUUAUCAAGAAAAUCAUCAUUGGACAUAUGAGCCAUCUCAGAAAGGUUAAAACUUGGACAUCUGCUUAACUGGCUAUUUUUUUUAGUAUGGCUGCUUGUUGCAAUCUUCUCUGGUACUUCAUGGAUAGCAUUUGAUCCCAAAUUGGCACCAGUCAUGUGCAAAUUUUUUUCAGUUGAGUUCCGCUCAUUAAUGAGCGGAACAAGUGGAAGGAAAUUUUCAGGUCUUUCAGUUUGCGAAAGGAGAUUUGCAGUAAACUUUUCCACAUCUAGCCUGUCCCCGCUGCUGAUUGGAGCAGACCAUUCUUUGGUUGAAGCAGAACUUCCAGCAUUUUUCAUGCUUUUACCAAUUUCAGCACUGGUACUUGAGUGACUUAAUGAGGUAGCUGCAAAAGUAGAGACCUGUACACCAUAACACCAUCAUAAGGUCUGAUUACUGAAUGCUUCCAGAUUUACAUAUGAAAUGAAAUCAAUGAGGCAAUCAAGUGAAUAAAUCAAUUGUUAUUAGAAUCUUAACAAUUUACAGAAGUUACGAGGACAGACAAGGCUGAAGGCCUAAUUUCGCGUUACCUGAAUUUGAUGAGGGAGUUCUGAACUGCAUUUUUCUAAAGCUUUUACGUCUCCACCAGCUGGAUACAAUGUAUUGUUUGCCUCUAGCAAAACCCUCUUUGCUGUGACAUAAGAUUGCUUGGGAGUUCCAAUUUGGUGUCGAAGUGGAAAAGUGAGAGAAGCCGUGGAACUAGGACAUUCAUGAGGGACUGCAAAUGAACCUCGAGUUGGAUACCUAUGCUUUGCAGGCAGAAUCACUGUGUCCUAUAUAGACAUAUCAACAAAUUUAAAGCUCUUAUAUAAAUAGCCAAGACAAGGAACUGAACAAGUUUGUCUAUAGUAAUACAAAACCUUUAAAAUAUAAUUCAUAUACUAACGCUUUGCAGGGAAAAUUGCUGUGUCCUGUAUAGACACGUCAAGCUAAAGCUCUUAAGCCAAGACAAGAAACUGCACAACCUUGUCUAUAGUAAUACAGAAGCUUCAGUAUCUAUUUUAUAUACUCAGGUUCAAUGAAAAAAAUAUCCUUCUUUUUCUUUUUUUUUUGGGUUUUUUUUUGGGGGGGUGGGGGGUGCAAUCAAGUCUAAAGCUUUUAAACACAUAGCCAACUUAGGAUUACAGUGGAAAGGGGAUAAUAGCUUUCUGAAUAUGCUUAACAACCUACAACUAAUAGUCUUAGGGAUGUUAAAUAGUCCCACUGCAAGGGAAUAAUAGCAUCAUCUGCUUCUUUUAGUCUGUAUCUUUUUGUGUAAAAAAAAAAAAAAAAGAGUAAAGCAACAUACUUGAUCCUCUUUAUCAGGUAUGAGAAGAUAAAAUUCCAGAAAUACUAUGACAUUGCAACACUAAAGCAAGAAAUCCUGUGCAAAACCAUUAAGAUUGAAGCGCAAUGUUGCAGCGGAACUAUUUAUCACUGGUUAAAACCAUUGAAGUUCCACGAAAGUUGAAAUCUUUGCAGAAUAUAGAAACCAAAAAUAGAAGUUAUUUCUCCACGAAAUUCAAGAUGAAGGACCAAAUGGUCUGAUUCGUACUACUAAAAGGUUCAAUGAAUAACUAUCAAAGGGGCAAUGCAAAGCCUGGUAAUCAAAGAGAUUACACGAUCAUAACAAACCCCAGAAAGCCAUUGCUUGAAUGGAAAAGCAAGAACACCAGCAAAUUAUGCUGUUAAAAAAAAAUUAAGAAAAGCAGUAGAUAGAGAAUGUGGAUUUUGAAACAACCUGACGAGGAGGAAAUGAAGGUAGGAAGGGGUCAUCCAGUUGCAUUUGGUGUAGUCCACCACCACCACCACCUGCAGCAGCCUGAAGGCUUUCUUGAAUUAAUACUUCUUUUCGUUUUCUUCCUCUCUUACCAGGGCCAGCCAUUCCUAAUUUCUCUAUGCCUUCAGGGCCUCUCUCAAGGCUUUCAAGUUCGACGGAGAAAAUCUAAAAGAGAAAAUACAGCAAGCAAUAAUCAUAUGCUGUUGCUACCGCCAGUAAUAUACAACUACCAGAGGUACCAUUUGCAGUAACACACAGCACCAGACGAGACACGUUUUUGCGCCAGCGCAGGCAGUACGAGUCUCGUGCCUGCAGCCUGGCGUGUUUGCAUAAGGGAUUAUUUAAAAUAUUAUUUAGAAUAAAUAUAAUACUACUCUUUUUUUUAUAAUGUAAUAUAUAUGAAAUAAAAAAUUAAUUAAUAAAAUAAAAUAAUAUAUUAAAAAUUAUAUUUGUAAUAUAAAUAAAUCAUUUUUUACUAUUAUUUGGGUAUUCAAAUACAUAAAUGAGUGUGUUUGAAUAGAGUAUUAUUUAAAAUAAUUACUGUAAUAUUUUUUAUAAUGUGAUGUAUAAAAAAUAUAAAAUAUAUUAAAAAAUAUAUUAAUAAUAUAAAUAAAAUAUUAUUUAAAAUAAAUUUACAAUUCAAACACAUUCACGUCAAAUACACACCGUAAUUUUCAAAACAAGUAGUAGUAGUAGUAGUAAUUAGUAAAUAGUAAAAGACAAAACCAUUGACAAAUAAAAAGAAAAGAAAUAGCUAUUGAUGCUAAAAUGUAAAGCCUGCCUCUCAGUCCGAGAAAGCAAGGCCCAAACAUCCUUCCUAAAUCCCAAACCUUAAACCCACAAAAAUUUUCUCCGCUGGUGGGAUUAGCCCUCCCUCCGCAGUCCUCACUCGAGCUGCUUCUAAACUCACUGCAAUUUAGCAAUUUUAAAGCCAUGCUUCCGUAAUCUGUGAUUUCUUCACUCCCCAUAAUAGAUUGCUCUAACAAUGAGGCAUUUUUAUUGCCGGCUCAUUUCUCAAUCUCUCCGGUGCUUACAAUUUAAUUACACGAAAACCCACGUCCCAAAACCCCCGAUUUUGAGUCCCAGAUUCUCGAACUUCACGACCGUAGCUGAGCAACCAAAGCCGCCGCCUGCACCGCCGGCUAAUGUGUCCGCAAUUGUAGAUGAACUUUCGGGACUGACGUUGCUUGAGGUUUCGGACUUGACGGAGGUGUUGAGACAGAAAUUGGGGAUUGAGGAGAUGCCGGUGAUGGCGGUUAUGAUGCCCGGAAUGGGGUUUAGUGGUGCCGGAGUAGGAGGAGCAAAGGGGAAAGGUGGUGGGCCGGCUGCCGCGGCUGAGGAGAAGAAGGAAAAGACGGCGUUUGAUUUGAAACUGGAGGGCGGAUUUGAUUCUGGGGCGAAGAUCAAGAUUAUUAAGGAAGUGAGAGCGUGCACUGAUUUGGGAUUGAAGGAAGCUAAGGAUUUGGUGGAGAAGGCGCCCACAUUGUUGAAAAAGGGAGUAACCAAAGAGGAGGCUGAGAAGAUUGUCGAGAAGUUGAAGCAGGUUGGGGCUAAAGUCACGAUGGAGUGAGGUAACUGCUUUUGCAUUCAUGCUUAUUCGAUUAAGCUUGGACAGAGUUUAAGCUAUUGGUACUUUGUUCUUAUGAUUCGGGAAUUUAAGUGCUUAUAUUCCAUUAUGAUGAAUUGGGUGUCUCAAUAACUGAAUUUGUUGGCAAAACUGGCUGCUUUCAUAUUUCAGGAUCUCGUUUGAUAUAGAUUCUGAACUUGUCAUUCAGGCAUUUGUAGAAUGAUGCUAUCUUUGCUGUUUUUGUACGGUCUUGUCCAGCUUUUUUCGUGGAUAAAUAGGUUUUAGCCAUAUGAUGAAUAAAAGUAUGGAUUUUGUUGCGUGCAUUGUCUGGAGUCUAUCACCUGAAUUGCAGUCACACAGAGUUCUGCCUGCUUUCAUAACUCAAACUUGUUUCAGUUGCAGUUGGGCUUGAUAAAGUUUUCGUGUUGUUAAUUAGGAUGGCCAAAGAAGGCAAAUGGAUAGUGGAGAUGUCUAAUAACUUAAUAAGAAGGCAAAUGGAUAGUGGAGAUGCUAUGGCCAUAUACUUUGAUCUGGUCAAAUUUUUCCUGACCAUAAUAGGAAUAUAGUUAGACAGAUUUCAAGUUACUUUCAUUUGGAUUUAAGAACUAUCCAUUUUUUUGACUGAAAAUUCAGGAGGACAUACUACCUUGUAACUUGUAAGUGGUAUUCUAAAUGGUGUCUCAGGAAGCACAUUGGAAUCAUUAUAUUUUGUGUGAAGCUCAAUUGCCAUGGGGCAUCAUGGAGGUGGGGUUAGGGCUGUCAUUUGAAUUUUAAUAAAGAUGGUCUCUAUCUCCUGUACACCCACUUUCCAUGUCAUGGUAGUAGGAGUAGUGAAGGUGCACGCAGUGUGGCAUAUUUAAGAGUUCAGGGUGUUCAUUAAACUCAUUAUAGAUAUUAUUUUCUUCCUGGCUUUCAGAAUAAUUUGAAUUUACAAUUACAUGUUGUAAAGUGCUUGGAUAUUUGGAACUUUUUAAUGGGUACUGAUUUGCAUAUUACGCUUUUUGUUCAGGAUUUUUCCAUUUUCAAUGCUAGCAGCAUAACAACUUCUAGAGGUUCCGCUCUGCAACCUGAUUCUGCUGCAGUUGAUGUAUUAAUGAAGUUAUUGGUUGAUAGGCAACACGUAUUAGUUUGACCUUUGAUCACCGAGAGUAGUAUUUCUGUAACUCCUUUUAUUACGAUUAAGCUCAAAGUGUAUGGUAAGCUUGAGUUACAUUUGUUACAGCUCUGCAACCGAAGUGAAGUAUUUCCAUUUGGGUUGGUUGUUCAAGCUGCAGACAACGCAUAAUCUUUCUUGUUUGGGCUAGCUAUUAUGAAAUUCAACAGAUUUAAGAAGUUUCUUCCCAUACGUAAUUAGAUUGAGUCAAGGUUGUUACAUUUUUGAAGUAGCUUUGUAUGACCUGAACAUCUUCAGUAUUUGUCAUGAUGGUUAUCGUUCGAGCUUUUAUCUUUCUUAUGGAAUGCUUAAAUUUCUGAGAAACUACUUGUAUUAUAAUAUUAAGCAUUUGACAUGAGAUUUUACAAUUAUUUUGUUGUUGUUCAGUUAUUGUUGGUUGUGGCUGAUUUUUGACUUUACUCUCUGAUCUCUAAAGCAAUUUUAUUGCUGAAAACAAUUGAAUGUUGUUCCUGAAUUUACCUAUGAUGGCUGUCUCCCUUGCCACGAUGUAGUAUAACAGGGCCAAAUCAUGCAUGAUUUCUGCCUUUUGGUCAUGUGUAAGGGGCAUCUCCUGUCUUCUAUUCGGGACAGGAGUACUUUUAUCAUUAUAAGAACAGAAGGUUCUAAGCUCUCAAGUAGUUGAGAAUUUUUGGAUCUUGACUAAGACAAUGACUAGUUAUCUUCAGCUAUUAAAUUAAAUGUAUAGAUUGGUUUGCAUUGAUUCUAUGCCUUCUUUAAGCUGGCAACCGAAUACUGUGACUGCUGCAUCAAGAUAUCCGACUUCUGGAGGAUGAAAGAUAUUGUGGUAACCUUUUAGUUUUAGGCGUUGGACCGUCUUUACUUUCCCUAAUGGUAUGAAAAACAGUUAAUCACAAGUCACAAGCUGAGAAGCACCCUUGGUCUUCUCGCGUUGCUAUUGUCCUUCAGUAAGUGGUGGAGACCUGAGCUUUCAAUGCUGGUGGUGCGGCGUUUUCUGGCCCGACGACUCUGCUUCAUUCCAUCCAUCCCUAGUCCAGUUUUCACUUGCAAAAUGCAUAAAAGCAAGAAAGAAAAAGUUGCCACGGAAAUAUAAUAAAAGAUGUGAUGUGUUGAAAGAAGCACAUUUAUAAUAUUAACAAUAUUAUUUCGGCAUUUAAUAAUAUUAACAAUAAUAAAUUUCUUCUUAUUCUUUAUUUUGACAAAACGCACGCGAGUACUCCGUGAAGGAAGUCGAGCAGCACGCUAAUCUUUGAACGAAGGGAACAUAAUAAUAAAACUUUCACCAUCAAUCAGAGAGUAUAAAAGGAAGAAUUAUCAGUAGGCUAAAACAUAGUUGUCAAAAUUGCGAUCCGGAUCGUACGAUCCUACGAUCUGGAUAACCAAAAUCGUUCCGGAUCGUAUUCAGAAUCGCAAAUCAUAACCAAAAUCGAUCCGGAUCGUAUUCAGAGUCGCAAAUCAUAUUAAUCUCUGUAUUUUUUUUUUUUCGGAAACGAUAGAUGAUAUUUCAUAGAAAUUUGAGACUUUACAAUAUUUGAGCAACGGCUCGACUAACUGUACCAAGUGUACCAUGACACUUAAGGAGGAACAAAGGUUCUCUCCUCAUCCAUACAUAUGCUUAGAGCAUAAAGACUAAUCUGAUUACAUAAAUUCAUAUUACUAAUAUCCCUUACAACAAAGGAGCACACUUGAAAUAGCUUAGCUAAUGCUAGAAUAUCUUCCACCAGCGUGACCAUAUUUGGAUGAUCUCCUGUCCCAUUUUUUAGUAAGGAGGUAAGCCUUUUGUUGGCAGUGACAACUUUGAUCCUUGGCCAUCUCAGCUGACUUGCUUUUAUAAGAGCCAAUCUUACUCCUAUGGCUUCAUCUUGGAUAGUCUCUGAUGAGCUCCUGUCUACUAGCGCCCACUCCACUAUGCUUCGUCCACCUUCCUGCUGAGCCACCAUUCCUAUUCCUAACUUAUGACCCUCCCCUUCCUUAUUUGUCACAACCUGGACUUCUGUUAUUCCAUUAACCUCCAAUCCUUCCUCCUCCAGACUUGAAUUAGCUGCCUCUGUUUCUGGUGUGCUUCUGUCUUCCUUUCCACUACUAGCCUCCUCAAACUCCAGCCACUCUGAGUUAGCCUUAUGAACUACUCUUACUCCUUCUCUUUCCUUCCCUUCGAAUUCCAGCUCAUUCCUGUCUUUCCAUAGUUGCCAGAGAAUGUUUGCCGUCAGAGCUAUGUGCUGCUUUCCUUCUCUCCUAGCCUUGGCUUGUACUAAAGUUGCCCACCAUUGUUUGAAGCAUCCUGUUAGAUUCUGGAUUCCAUCCCAUUGCACAGGAGCUAACUUCCAAACCUGUUGAGCCUGAGUGCAGUGAAACAAAAUGUGUUCAACUGUUUCCACCUUAUCCCCACAUCUUAGACAAAAUGGUGAUCCUUGUCUUGUUCUUCUGAAUAUUGUCUCCCUGGCUGUUAGAGUAUUGGUUAUACACCUCUAUAUGAACAGUUUUAUCUUAUGUUUGAUGUUCAGCCCCCAUAAAGACUUCCACAUCUGUGUGUUAGAAUCAUCAAAGCUAGAGCCGGAUUCCCCUCUUACAGCCAGUUCCUUGCUUUUUUCUUCCUUUAGCAGCACUUGAUAACAAGACUUAACUGAGUACUCCCCUUGUUGACUAUGGAUCCAAAAGUGCCUGUCACCCACUCUUGACAAACUGAUAGGAACCUUCAGAAUGUUCUCAGCAUCUUCUUUAUUAAAUGCUCUGAAUAUUUUAUUUCUGUUCCACCUGAAGUUGGUAAUCAGCUCAUCUACUGUGCCUUCCUCCCAAUCGUUUGGUUUCCUUGUGGUAGGUACCCCAUUAGGACUAUUUGGGAUCCAUUGGUCUUUCCAGAUCUUGAUACUCUUUCCUGAUCCAACUCUCUUCAGUGUUCCUUUCUUCACUACAUCCCUCGCAGACAUAAUGCUUUGCCAGAACCAGGAAGAAUAUUUGGGGCAUUCACCUUGUAAUAUGGAUGUCUUGGGGUAAUAUUUAGCUUUGAGCAUUCUGCUUACGAGCAGGUUUGGGUUUCUUAGGAGUCUCCAAAUCUGUUUUCCCAAUAAUGCUAUGUUGAAACACUGCAGAUUUCUAAACCCCAGUCCUCCAUCCAAUUUUGCCUUCAUCAUUUUUGUCCAUGAACACCAGUGCACCUUAGCUUUCCCUUCUGAGUCCCCCCACCAGUAUUUAGCCAUCAACCCUGUAAUUUCCUUACACAACUUAGUUGGUAGUUUGAAGCAAGACAUAGUGUAGGUUGGCAUUGCCAUAAUGACAGCCUUUAACAUAACCUCCUUUCCUGCUGCACUUAAGAAUUUAUUCUUCCAGCUGCUUAGUUUAGCUUUGAUACUGUCCUUUAUGAAUCCAAAAAUCUGGCUUUUUGUUCUUGUAAUCACCAUGGGGAGGCCUAGAUAUUUGCCUUGAUUCACUACCCUUACCCCUGCAAGAGGCCUACAUGUCUCCUCCUUGUCCCUCUCCUUAGUAUUCUUACUGAAACAAAUGGAAGAUUUUUCCAAAUUAAUCACCUGCCCAGAUCCUCUCUCAUACUGCUCCAGUAUUUCCUUCAACUUCCUUGCUUCUUCCCUUACAGCUUUACAGAAGAUUAAUGUGUCAUCUGCAAAGAAUAGGUGGGUAAUGGCUGGUCCAUAUUUGCUGAUCUGAAGUCCACUUAACAGCCCUUGACCUGCUGCUUUCCUUAGUAAAUUAGAUAGUCCUUCUGAACACAGCAAGAAGAGGUAAGGUGACAAGGGGUCACCUUGUCUGAUCCCUCUAGAUGGCAUCACAUAUCCCUUGAUUUCCCCAUUGAUAUUGAAAGAAUAAGAGACUGAAUUGAUACAGCUCAUUAUCCAUUCCACCCACACCUGGUUGAACCCCAUCUUCUCCAUCACAGCUUUCAGAUAUCCCCAUUCAACCCUAUCAUAAGCCUUGGACAUGUCUAUUUUUAAAGCAGUAAAUCCGUCCUUGCCUUGUCUCUUGUUUUUAAGGAAAUGAAGGCAUUCGUGUGAUAUAAUAAUGUUGUCCAAUAUCUGCCUGUUGGGGAUAAACGCAGAUUGAUUUUUGCAGAUGCAAAGGUCAAGAACUGGUUUGAGUCUGUUAGCUAGAAUCUUGGAGAUGACUUUGUAUAGAACGUUACAAAGACUGAUGGGUAGCAGGAUCGCCUAAAAUCGUAGUAGGAUCGGUAGGAUCGUACGAUCCUACAAUUUUUUUGUAACUUUGUGAAACACGAAACUCCAUUUUGCAAGUAAAUGAAAAUAUUUGUGAUAUAUUUGUAAUUUAUCAAAAAAUUUUAACCUUUAAUUACAAUUAAGAGCUUUUGAUAGGAUCACGAUCCUGUGUGAAACUAAAAUCGAUCCCACGUAGUACCCAAUUUUACAAACCUUGGCUAAAACUAAACCCCAACAAAAGAGAGAAGCCGCCUCAAAAGAGAAUUGAAAAUGUCGUCCAAGGCAAGCAACCAAAGUAUAUAAAUUCUCAGUAGCGUCUUUGGUUAGUUUCCCUCCUCUACUGUUACUUCCCAGGUUCAGAUUGUAUGGUGGCGGAAUCCAUCAUUUAUUGAUUGCUUGCCAUUCUCUUCUCUUCUUAUAGGAUAGGAAUAGACUUGAGCUUCCACGAUUUGUGGCUUCCGUAUCGUUCUCCGUAAUAUUUGGGCGUCUUAUUCUCUCUUUCUUGCUUGAUCAAUGAAAAGAAAUGAUAGGAAAAACGCUGUCGUAGCAGAACCAAGAAUACUGACGGAGCUUUAAUAGCAGAGAUGUCGGCGUGGCGGUCGGUGGUGGACUGGCAAUGGGAGAACGCCACCGCCGGCGCUCUCGCCGGUCUCGCCACCGUCACUUUCUCUCAUCCCCUUGACGUAGUCCGUACCAGAUUCCAAGGUUACCUCCCGCCCUUCCUUCCUUCCUUCCUGGCCCCAUUCUCUCUAGUCUCGUACGUAUAUGCAUUAACUCGAAAAGGAAAAGGAAAUAAAAUCAUCAUGACGAUUAGUUUUUGUUUAUUUUCCAAAUAGUGCACGACGGGCGAAUCUCCAACCUCCCGAGCUACAAGAAUACUCCUCACGCUCUCUUCACCAUUGCUCGCUCCGAGGUUUGUUUCUUUUUUCAGCAUCGCUUCUUCUUUUUAGAUACCUUCGCUUCAGGAUUCCAGGUAGAUGAGGGGUUGAUGGUAACUCAUGUAGCAAGUCCUUUUGCUGACAUUACUUUUUUAUAUGAAUUUUGAAUCAGCUCUUCUUCCUUUUAAAGAUUUGAGCUUACAGAAACGUGAAAGUUUACUCUUUUUUUUUUAAAAAAAAUUGACAUUGAUGUUAUCAAUGCUCUUGUAACUGGUCAACUUGCAAUACGACUUGCUUUUGGUGAUUAUAUACAAAUUUGAUUUUCUCCUUCUUCUUCUUCUUCUUUUGGCAGUAUUUCAAAUUUUUAUUUUUUCCCCUCUUAUUGGCUAUAGCUCUGGUAUCUAAUUUCUACGCUUUCUGCCUCAGGGUCUCAGAGGGCUUUAUGCAGGCUUUUACCCUGCUGUUCUUGGGUCAACUUUUUCAUGGGGUUUGUAUUUCUUCUUGUAAGUUUUACUUCUCGGGUCUUUGCUAAUAUCUUGUAAUACACAACAAGACUAUUGAGUCUAGUUCACUUGGAUAAAGUAAUAUAUUAUUUUUUCAAGUUGAAGAUGAAUGCACCCAAUCAUUCACCUUUUUCUAGUGUAUGUUUGCUAGUGUAUCAUGUUUGGCAUUUUCUCCAUACUUUUAGUUUCUUCCAGCAUCAUCUGUUCCUUUUCUGAUAAAAGAAAAUAAGUAUAAUAACAAUAACUUGUGCAGCAAUUGAAGGUUAUUGCACUUGGACUUUUUCUCUAAUUCCAUUUCCCGGUUGAAUGAGUCUCCAGCUAUAAGCUUUGUUUUCCAAUUUGGAGAUAAUUUUCCUGCCUAUUCGACAUGAUAUUCUUUUAUGCAGCUAUAGCAAGGCCAAGCAGAGAUAUCUAGAAAAUAGGCCAGAGCUGAGCCCAGGCCUGCAUCUAGCUUCAGCUGCUGAAGCGGGAGCUUUGGUUAGUACUGUACUUAAAUGGAAUUCUGACUGUUUUAAUUGCUGCUUGUGCCAAUUUUAUUGUGUAUAAUGCAGUUCCAAAAUUGAAAUUUGGACAUCUAUUUCAACCUGUAACAAAAGUGAGGUUGUGCCUAUCUCAGGUUUCUUUGUGCACAAAUCCUGUUUGGUUAGUAAAAACAAGACUUCAACUACAGACUCCUCAACAAGUCCGUCCAUACUCUGGCUUUCAUGGUAUGCUCAGCUCUUUCAUGGUAUUAGAUUUUAAUUCAUUUGCCUCUGAUUUACUAUUAGGAAUAAUUUAAAGUAUUCUAAUCAGUUUUGGUAAAGGGACUACUAUCUAUUUCCCGUGAUAUUUGCAUACAUAUCUAAUUCAAAAUUUUGAACAGCUGUAUCUGUCUACAUUUCCUUUUCAGCAUGUUUAUGAACAUUAUUCUUGCUUUCUGCUGUGACCAAUCUGAGGUUCAUGUUUUCCUUCUGAUUGUAGAUGCUUUAAGGACGAUUCUAAAAGAAGAAGGGUGGAAAGCACUUUAUAAGGGGCUGGUGCCUGGCCUUUUUCUUGUUAGCCCAUCUCUUCUCUCUCUCUCUCUCUUUCUCUCUCUCUCUUUCUCUCUCUCUCACACACACACACACACAAAAUGGCAGCUUUGUUCGGUUAUUGAAUUUAUUGGUUUGACUGGCUUCCUUUCAUUGUAUACUCAUGUAAACAACUGACUGGUCCUGGUUUUGCUUCAGCAGGUUACACAUGGAGCUAUUCAAUUCACUGCAUAUGAGGAACUUCGUAAAGCUUUCAUUCAACUCAAGUCUGAAGGAGGUGAAGGCUCCACUGAUGACUCAUUGGUGAGUCUUCAGCAUAUAUACCUGUCUGUAAAUUGUUAUGGGGCGAACCUUUAGGCCUGUUCUCUUUGGUUUAAAAUAAGCUAAUUUUAGCUUUUUUUGAGCAAAACUAAAAGCUGCAUUUGGGCAUCCUUAUUUGCUUUAAACUAGUGCUUUAUGCUUUCCUUAGGCUUAAAAAUUCUGAUUAUGAGAAGCAGGUGUUUUGUUUUAUGAGAAAGCCUUGCAGGACUUCACCUGAUAAGUUUUGUGUAUCUGUUUGAUAAACCGAAUUCGCUGCUGCUUGUGUGCAUUUGGGACAUUUGUCUUCUGUAAAAGUCAUAUCGCUCUUUCUUAUCUUUAAUACAUCCUUUCUGCCCCUAGUUUAAAAGAUACAAGUGUGUUGUCAGUGUAAGGAUUUAGAGUAAACUCACUAGGACAGAACAUGAGAAGUCAUAAGUUAGUUUUAGCUUUUUACACAUCUUAUGACUGCACUACAUUUUUUUCAGUGUUGGCUUUUUAGGUAUCUUAUGAAUGCCCUACAUUUUUUUCAUUUUAAUGUUAAAUUCUCCUGUAGUUGCAUACUUGGCCACCUUUGGAAAGUUUCACCUCUCUUUGUUAAAAAUUUGAAGGCGAGUUGAUUUUGCUUCUUCUACAUGUAUAACUGUAUUAUGUUGGUACUUAAUUCUCACUUUGCUGUUCUGUUUUAAUUGUUAGUAAAAGUUUAAGAUGAAUUUUCCUAUUUUUUGUUUCUCUUUUUGGCUUUGUAGUCCUAUUUGGUCUCUUUCCAUGUCUGCGUAUCAAAUUCCUCUGGCUUGGAAACGCAGAAUAAUUGCUGAUUUGCUCUUCCUUCAGGAUUUAGAAGUUUUAGCAUUGUAUUGUAUUUUCUUGACAGGAUUCAAUUGAUUAUGCGGCAUUAGGGGCUACUUCAAAACUGGCUGCCAUUGUUUCAACGUACCCAUUUCAGGUAGACAGCUGCACAAACCCUAUCUAAAAUUUGGUUAUGUUGAUGUAUUUUUAUUUUGGAAGCAUGUUAUAUAUACUUCUCACAGUAUUAUAAUCGCUUUACUAAGACCUUGUUAACACUGUAUUGCAGGUCAUUCGAUCUCGACUGCAGGUGAGGAACCUAAACAUUCACUUGAUCUUAUCCAUAUCUUUCAUAUUCACUCACGAGAUGAGGAGAGAGACUGUGCCACUAAGGAUGAUGCUCUGGGUGGCUUACUGAGAGGAAAAAAAAAUGUUUAGAUAGGGAUAUACAUAUGAUCUUGUUUCUUCCUGUAUUAUGGUAGCUAAUGGCCAAUUUGAUUUUUACUCUUCCUUCUGUAGCAACGGCCGAGUACAGAUGGAAUUCCAAGAUACAUGGACAGCUGGCAUGUAAUGAAACAAACAGCAAGGUGAAAUCAAAAUUUUCUCCCAGUCUUGUGGUGAUCUUUCUCUCCCUCGUACACACACGCAAACGCACGUGCACACGCACAAUCACAAUCACAAUCACAAACACAUGGUCCUUGGCAUGUUGAAAGUACUGUAGGACAUUCUUUGCAAGACCUGGCUGAAUGCAACAACGAGAAUCAUCUGUCAAGUUUGUGCAACAAUCUUAGCCAAUUUCUACUUUAACAAUGGGAAAAUUUUCAUUACACUUUCUUCACCUUUAGCCUUCCUGUGGAAACUUUAUUAGUUUACAAUUUGUUUUACCUUCCCCGUUUUCUGUUCACAGGUAUGAGGGUCUACGAGGGUUUUACAAGGGUAUCACUGCAAAUGUGCUAAAAAAUGUUCCAGCUGCUUCGAUAACAUUUAUUGUGUAUGAGAAUGUUCUAAACAUGCUAAAACUGGCUAAAUGGAAAGAUCAAUAGCUUAGCUAAUUUUUGUAAUCAAGAAAUCUACAUGUUAGUAUCAAAACCUUCGGAAAAGAAAAGUUGUAGUUGAAAAAUAUGAUAUAUGGUGUAGUACCCAAUGCGACAGCAGAGAGGAGUGAACUAUGAACAGUUGAGGCAAAUGUCCUGUUCAAUUGUCUGUCGGUUAAAAUUGAUUGAAAGUGUUACAUCUCUAGUUUGUUACAUUGUCCAACUUCUGAUACUGUCUACCAAACACAUUGUCUUGGGUUCUAGCCACGAUUUGCACGCAUCAAAGAUGGAACUUGCAGACCAAGUUCGGGUUCCUUAUCCAUCAGAGUCUUGUAUCUUUUACUUUGUGAAGUUAUAGCAGUUAGAUAUUUGCCAGUUCUAUGUUCAGAAAUUUCAAAAUCCGAAUAGAGUAUGUAAUAUACAAUCUUUUUCAAUGGUGGUGCAUGGAGCAAUUAUUUUCAGAAAUUUUUUUUUUUAAAAAAAAGCCAUAUACAAUCUAUUUCUACAUUGGUACUUGGAAUAAUGUAAUACAUUCCAGUUACUUUUCCCUCACUGUGGGUUAUUAUUGAAAAACAAGAUUCCACCGAAAAGGCUCCACGCUGAUUGAGGUCUAUCUGAUUCAGUGUCUUCGCAUUUGAACAACAAAAUUUCGGCCAACGUUACAGCUUUCUGUAGACGGUAGAGUCUCUACAAAGCAUGACGUAUAAAGUCCCAUUACUUGGCAGGAAAUUUUCGGAGGAAGGAUAGAAUUUGUUCGGAAACCUCUUGAGCUCUCUCUUGUUGGAUGAAAUGAUGGCCGUCUAGUAUGACGACUUCAUGGUUGGGUACUAGGCUCUUGAACACAUUUCCUUCUAUGUACUCCCUGGUGCCAGAAUCAAAUCCAAUAUCCUUGUUCCCCACAAUUAGCUUUGCUGGAACUGUUAUUUUAGACCCUUGCCACGGUGCAAGUAGCUCCCAAUUCCUGUCAUCACAUGACGUUCACAACGGGAUUAACAGGACCAGCUACAUACUGAUACCGGAGCAUAUAAACUCUUGCUAUCUAACAAAAUCGAGGUGAAUUUCGUGUUCUUGCACAUUAUUACGCUACAAAAGAUUGAUCAUGGCAACUUAAUUGAGUGAUAGGCUUGUCCAGUCUGGUUAGGGGUGUUUUCAUUUGCUACAGUUGAUUAGUGUUGGAACUGCGGUUAGACUUGCAGGUCCAUGGCUCGGUAGUAAUUGAAAGCUCCUGUAAAACCAGACUCUAGGAACUUGUCAGCGAUGACCUGAAGUUCAUCUUCUGUAAUCCAGCGCGGUAAGUAGGAAGGGGUUUCUAAAUAAUCAAUAAUCUCCAUACCAGGAGGAGCUAUCAGCUGAUCGGUCUUGCUAAUGAGAUAGAAUUUCUUCAUCACCGUAAGAUAAUCAUACCUCGCAAAUGAUUUUUCUGCUCUUCCAGGUUCCUACCAUUUCGGAUUGGCACUGAUUUUAUCAAAUAUGAAGAUAUUUGUAGCAUAGCCAGGAAACAGAAAUCAAGAAUACCUGAAACUGGCAAACGUAGAAAUUAUCUCCAAACAUCUGUUUGAAUGAGUCGGUCGUUUUGAUGGUUGAAAAUCUUGGUGUGAAUGGAACCGAGAGAGCAACUAUACCUCUAACUCUAUUUGGCCUGAGCAGGCUCAACUGCCAAGCAGCCGCAGCUCCCCAGUCUAUCCCCACCACAAAGGCCUUGCCAACAAAUAAUCAAGUCGUAGUUUUACAAAACUACAGCUCAGAAAGUAAAGCUCAAAAAAUCGUGCAAAUUAUCAAACAAAAGAAUUUACCUGCUCUUGGCCAAAAUGAUCCAGAAGGCCGAUGAGAUCGCCAACUAUGUGGAAAGCAGUGUAAGAAGAGGGGCUGAGGGGGGAGUCAGUGUCUCCAUAGCCUCUCAAGUCAGGUGCAACUACGCGGUAACCGUGUUUUGCCAAGAAGUUGAUUUGAUGGCGCCAGGAAUACCAUAUCUCAGGGAAGCCAUGGAGGAGUAAAACAAGUGGCCCUGUUCCUUUUUCAGCUAUGUGCAUCCAUAUACCAUUUGUCUUGAUUCUCUGGUGAUUGACAUCCGCGAUGACGCUCAUCAUUUUUACCUCACAAAACUUUCAAAAUUGAUUGCCUGCUAUGAUGAUCGCUUUGUUUGAUAAUUUAUUUUCUGGGUUAUUUGGGAUUAAUCGUCAUCAAUUGACUAUGGGCAAAGGCGUAAGCGAAGAGACUUAGUAGGCAAGGUCAAGAAUAUGCAGUCAGUGCUUUGGUGUCGAACAUUGUUUGGCUGCUUGUCUCAAGCCAGGCAUGCAAGGGUGUUCCGGUCAAAUCCGGGUGAAGAGCUGAUUGAUGACCAAGAAAGAAGCUGCUUGAGUAUGAACUAUGAACUAACACCCUACCAAGGACAAAUGAUGUUUGAGUUUGAAUAUUGUCAUGAAGGUGUACUCCAUUUCAUCAAAUGUCUAGAAGUAUACUCCAGAUUUAUUUCUCGAGGAUUUACAUCUAUGCAACAGAUUCAUAGAUUGAUUUUCAGUACUCCCGACCAAGACUUGGCUACAAUUCUAUUGAUCCUUUUUUUAUAGCGACACCAUGUACCACGAGGUCGAGAACAGGAGGACACUCGGACAAACUCCUCACUCUAACGAGAAUUCAGAUAGUAUAUAAGAAAUUAAAUGUCUUCGGAAAAUUAAUUUGGAUUAGAUGAUGCAAUCACCACAAACACAGCACAGAUUGGAGUUCAUGACACUGCACAUUGUACUUCUAGCAGCGAGCACAAAAUAGGAGUCCGCUCUUCAUUUACAAAUACCAGGAAAAUAGUCAAUUCACAUUGAAUUGUUCUUCGGCACUACUCCUGGUUGCCAAUAUUUAGCUUUACUUUUAAGCUGAAUUCAUCUACCAAUGGAAUAAGAGCUGAUUUGCCUCCUUAAAACAGUUAAUGACAGUGAAGAAAUUAUUAUUUUUACACUUUGUCAUCAUGAAACCACCAUCUUGUUUCCUUUGGAGAUCUGCCAUUUUUACAGUUUCUUACAUAACGAUCAUUGUCUUCUGGUGGUUGCUGCACAUACAGGCAACGAAGGAUUAAUAUGCAUCCGAGAUUUGCAGGUGAUUGAAAAAUACCUAAUCUAGAAGCCGUCAAGGACUAAUAGAGGCAUACCUUUACGGUUGAACUUGACAGCAUUGAUAGAAUGCUGAUACAGACAGAGCUAACAGUCAUGGCAGGGGACCAUGAGUCAUACAGAAUAUCUGCAUUGCACGAGGAUAUAUAAGAUAUGAUUUACUGAUUUUCCGAAGGCCAGAGUCACAAUGAUAAGUAUCUAACUGCAUGGAAGGCAUUACAAGCAAAGGCAAUCAAGACGGUCUCACAUUGGGCCUUCAUUGCUUUCACCAAUGUUAACGUCAUACAUUUUAGGACCAGCUGUGGAGCCAAUAUUCGCAAGUUGCAGGAGGCAAAAACAUAGAGAUGCCAUUUCAUUUAGUUUUGAAAAUGUAAUUCUCCUAAAAGUGAACUCAAAAAUCUAAAAUUCCUAAUGAGUGUUCUAGUAAGUAAGGAACGAGGUACUCCCACUUCCUCUCUUAAUCUGGGCUGAGGAUCUCUGACCAGAAACUUAAAAAUCCAAGCCAUUAUAGCUUCAAGCUUCUUGUCAUUCACCUUGAGUAAUCCAGAGAUGUAUUCACAGGAGAAGCUUUGAUUCUCUCCAUUCACAAGAAAAAAAUCUUAGUUUUAAUAGGAAGCCAAAUAGCCAAUCAUAUUCUUGUAUCCCUAUCAAGCAGAGAACAAUAUCGAGCUAGAUGGGGACAUGCAAUUCCCACUAAUGCUAUCUCAUACUCUUGUUACCCCUUCCUAAAAGAGCAAUUUCUACAACAUCCAGUGUCAACAAUUGGUAAUGCAGCUUGUCUGUAAAAUGAAAAUCCCAAUAAAUGCUGCAUUUCUCAAACCUCAUAAGAGGAUAAAGAGUCUAAACCUUAACAUGCAACGGUCCUCAUAAUAUGCUUUUUGUUAGCACAUGCUAAAAAUUACAACAAACAACUUUAAGAAACUAUAAAAACAAGGACUAAACGGCUUCAAUCAUAUGAGGAAUUUUUCCUUCUCUUAAGAGAGAAAUAGAGAAACCUAUUUUCAGGAAGAUUGGAAAGACAAGUGAGGGUACAAUUAAUACAUAGAAGAUUUGAAGAAACGGCAAUGUUCUCAAAGUAACUGCCAUCUCAGUGCGUUCAAAUAGUAGUGAUUUUUGCACAUAAUAGAACUAUCGCUGUCAUUGCAUGAUGGUGACAAUAAAUUUAGUGGUGGCGUAACAUAUAACUCGCACAAAUCUUUCCAUUUCUUGAGAUGCUAAACUUAAUUAGACAAAAAGAGUUUUAACAGCAAAUAGAUUAGAUCCCCUGUAUUGACAUCCGCAGAAAAGGCAAAUAAGGACAAAGAACACCAACCUAACAAUCAAAAGAGCAAAGAAAUCUCUGCAGAUUAACUGCAUCCGGCAAACCUAAGUGGCAAAGAUUUUUUAUGAAAUGUCAUAUGAUUAAGCUUACCUAAACAAAUGUGGCCAUUGCUAUAGAUAUGAGGGUGCAAAGGAGCCGGGCUCAAAAAUAUCACCUUGCAUCAAUCCCAAAUUAAAAGAACAAAUCAGAAUGCCAUUCAAAGAAACUUUUGCCAAAAUUAUACACAGUAACUCCAAAAAUUAAAACAAAAAAGAAGAAAUACUGUAAAAAGAUCCAACCUGGGGCGCUUCCAUAGGAUAAUGUUCUGGAAAAUCUACUUGUAGCUGAAAUGUUUCAUUAGCAUAUAAAGUUCCAGGAGCUCCAUGCACUUCAAUGACCCACCUUUUUAUCAAAUCAACUUACUAAAUCAAUAGCUAAUCACAAUUAUAAACAACUACAAUGUUACAAAAAGCAGUAAUUCAUUCAUUAAAAAUCGAUUUAGUAUCAAUAAUUUCCCUGUACGAAAUGAAUAAAUCCCGUAUCAUAUCAACGUCCACCCACCGCCCUCCCCCCCCCCCCCCCAAAUAAAAAAAAAAAAAAAGGGAAUAAAACAAUUGUUAGGAGCAAGAAGCAAUUGGGCUAAAAAAAGUGAAAACUGAUAAACAAGAAAGAAAAAGAAAACAACCUCUGAAGAUUAUCGGUGGGCUUGUGCUUAAAACCAGCAGGAGGAUUGACCUGCCACUCCACCAGCUCCUUCUGCAACCGGUUGGUCGCUAUUUUGCUUAACGCCUAAUUCAACAAUUACUAUUGUCAAGAUAAUAAUCUUUAAAUGAAUCUAAGAAAGAAAGCUCUACAUCGGAAAAGAAAAGCUAAAAUUUUGUACAGCGCAAUUUCGUAAAAUUAUCCACAAAUUCCAUAUAGAGAGACUGAGAGGAAUAAACCUUGCGAGAGGCGGCGGAGGAGCCGGUCAUGGCGUCGCAAGAUCACCUGAUACCUGGCUCGGAUAGACAGUAAAAGGCCGACUAUUGACGACGAGGAGGAUGAUUCUACGGAGGAGCACACAAGGAAUAUGGCCCUGCCGCUGCUAAUUAUAAUAAUAAUAAUACGUCCUGUCCCCAUUCUUUCUUUUUUGCUUUUAUUUCACCCCGUCUAAUUUCUUCUCCAAAUAAUACUCCUCUACUAAUUUCUUCCCCAAAUAAUAUUUUAUUAUUGUCUUCGUAUUGAUUUUUCUACAACUGUCCUGGUACGGUAUUUAAGGAUUUUAUUCUACAACUGUGCUAGUGGGAUAUUUUAUAACAAUUCUUAUUACUGCUAUAAGUUAUACUAGUAACUAGUAGUACUAAUUUUCUUGGUAAAUAUUGACCUCCUCUCCUGCUGCGGUUGAUAUAAUAAAUUCUAGUACUAAAUUAAUGUCGUCAACGGGAGCGUUUGAGGUGAACGAGAUUUUAUCACCCCAUUGAGAUCGCAUCACCAUCUUGAUGCUUGUUAUGAUUUACCAGAUGGUAGUAAUACUAGUAAUUAAAGAACAAGAAUUGGUCCAAAAUGGGCCCGGUUUGAUGAUGAUCGAAGUGGGAUGUCCCUACCCGAAAAAAAAUAUAGUACCCCCCCUUGAGAAAGUGGGAUGUUGCCAAUAGUUCCCAAAAUCAGCAAAAUUCAUUUUCUGUCUUGAAAAAUAUAUUACGUGUAAACCACCCAGUCUAAAACUAAAAAAGAAGUAGCACACAAAAAGUAAUAGAAAGUUCCUAUUCUUUUUAGUGUAGAAAGUUGACGGGAGCCCUUGACGUCUUCCCUUCAAUCCAAGAUGCCGGGCCGAGACAGGAAAACCCUUAUUAUCAUUUUCCUGUCAAUUAUUAUUGGUUUCUAAAUCAAAUACAACAGCUCAUCUAUAUUACUAUUAUGAGGACGGUCAUCUCGGCCCGAUCGCUCUAAAGAAAGGACCGGGACUUCCUGUAUUUACCGUCAUCUCGGCCCGAAAUUGUAUCAACUCGGCUUCCCAGUGAAAUGCCGAGUUCUCACGCGUCUUCAGUCAUCUCAACUCAUCACCUCACGAAUACCUCAGUGUCUCGACUAAUGAACUGACGCCUUAUUGGAGUCCACUAUCCUUCCCUCCGGUUGGUCAGAUCUUAGGAAAUUGGAGUCCACUAUCCUUCCCUCCGGUUGGUCUUCUAUAAAUACCAUUCCCUCCUAAAUAAAGGGAGAGGACUCUCUACUAUUUUCAUUCCCAUUAUUCAUUUCUCACAAAACUAACUUAAUCAUUGGAGGUACUCCGAGGGAAAAAAGCGCCGUCUAGUGUGUUUACCAGGAAAAGUACAGCACAAAGUCACCUCGCUUAAGAAGAAGACGUAUUAGGUUAACUAGACUUGCCCAUCCAAAAAUAACCUUUUCAUGCUACAUAUUUACAACAAACGGAAAAGGAAAAAAUUUGAAUCCCUAAACAGGAAAACCAUUGUCAUUUUCCUGUCAAUUAUUCCAAAGAAAUACACUAUUGCACACUGCUGCAGAGAGAGAUUUGAAUCCUAAAUCUAUAGUCAGAAUUGCCCCUCAGCUCACGUAAUGCGAGUCGGUUUCCUAAAUUCUAGUCACCGGUCUUCGUUCCUAACCGACGCCAAGUUCAUUGCAUAGUUUCUCACUGGUCCAAGGUAAACGACACGUCUCCUUACGAGGCACCAUCAAAGUAUCGAGUGGCUUCGUAAGCACGAUAUCUUCCCCUGGAAUAGUUUCUGAAUUCGGCUCUUCUCAGGCCUGUCAAUCUGUUUUUUCGUCGACCAAGUCGGCAAAAAGACUCGAGAUCUACUUCUAGAAAACAAUUCGUCAAACGAACAAAGGGAAAAAUAUGUCAAAAGUGAUCUAAAGCAAACACUUUAUUAGCUAUUUGCUAUACCCCAUUUGGACGCUGUCACUAGGAAGGAAUCGGAUUACCCACUGACGUAUCCUCCAAGGUAAUUAACUUGAAAGGACAGGAUUUCAGUUUCAACACAAGGAGGAUUAGGCAUAUCCUUUGCAUCAUUUCAAUUUUAUGACUGCCCCCACCAAGAAAACUAGACUCUGGAAAGCAUCUAGCGUUUGCAGAAUAAAAGUUUAUGCCUAUUCCGAUCUUGACCUAUCUUAAAUCAGUAAAUAAUCAAUAAACAAUAUUGAUGAUAAGUUACUCAUUACGUGAGAAUUAAAACCGCAUUUAGGUACUGGAUCAUGGUUAAUCAUCGUCCCUACAAAACAUGUUAGUCUUGGUAUGUUCUUGUAGAGUAAGCGACCGGUAGAAAUGGCAUUCUCACUGAGACUGGAAGACAAAUGAAAUACCAACAGUAUACAGUAUGGUCAUCACAAUCUUUUAAGGAUGGCUCAAGUUACUUUGCACAAAAAUUCUGCUCAUUGAAGGAUGGCUUAAGUUACUUGCACAUACUUUUAGGAACAGCGUGUCUCAUUGAAGUCUCAAUUUCUCAGCCUGUAAUCCGUAAUCUACAAUCUGGGGUAUGAAUUUUCUUAUGCAAUCUAUUCUCAAUUUUGUGUAAAAACCUCAAGUCGUACUCUGAGCUGAAAAAUUGGACACUUGAAAUCAUCAGUUUAUUUCCUUAAUUUUGAGAGAGGAGGCUCGAUGGAAGAACUUUGUACGGGUUGAGUAUACCAUUGGGGUCAAGCAGCUUCUUGAUGGAAGCCAUUACUUGCACCUGUCAACACAAUAAUUUGUUUUAGAUUCUUGUAUGGAUGGAAGGUAGUAAUUGGGAAAAAUAAAAAAUCAGUGAAGGAUCGGAGUGUGUAAAGGAAGGAGAAAAUAUUUGAACCUGUAAAUCGCAUUGGAAAACAAAAGGCACGAGUAGGAUCAAGCAGAAAGACACAGACAGAUAAUAGAAUGAUUAUCAUCGAGACAAGAUGUGUCAGGUAACAGUUCGAAUACACAAUAAUCAAAGUCUAUCAUCAGCCUUACAGUUUCAGGUGACUUGCUGUAGUGUAUUUUAGCAGCUUUCAUCAAUCCAAGACCAUGCUCAGCACUAAUACUCCCACGGUUCUUUGAUGUCCAUUCAUACACGAAGGGCUCAAUUUUUGCCAAAAUCUGAAAUAUGUGUGAUCAUCUUAGUGAGGUAACUACAAUUCAGAAUCAAGGGAACUUCACGGAGAGAGCGGGAACAAGCACGCUACAUUAUCAUCAUACGCUGGAGCUGAGAUAUUUAGAUGUAAGUUUCCAUCCCCAAGGUGACCAUAUGCCACUACUUUGGCUGCAGGACCUAGAGAUUAACAUGCAAGUGUGAAAAGUUGUCAGAAACAUUUAAUACCUUACUGACAGUCAAGUCCAAAUGUAAUGUUAUACCUAAGAAGUCAGAACUCAAUAAGUGAAACUCAAUCAGCCAAGUAAAGUAGGAUCUUCAAGUUGAAAUGAAGCAUGGCUUCCAUGAUAAGUUAUGAGAAAUAACUACUGAAGCUAUGCAUCCAUUGGAUGAAUCCCAUCCAGAAGAUUGUUCCACCUUCAAGGUAUCACCAUGAAAGAGAACAGCAUUCUUACUGUUCAAUAAAACAAAGAAAAAGUAAUGAAUUUCAUUAUUACCAAUUUGCACUCGCAUUUCCUCAACAAGAUCAUACAUCUUUUCAAGAGGCAGUGACAAAUCAUAUUUGUACACGGCCCCUGCUUUCAUGAGAGCUUCAGGUAAACCCUGCAACCAAGAAGCUGCAUAUUAGCAAGUUUCAUGUAUACACAAAACGCCUCAUGUAAUUUAAAGAUACUUCAUGCUAUUAAACAGAUCACUCGGAAAUCAAUAUUUUAGGUAAUAGUUGCAUUCUUUUAUACUGUUUAAAAAUUAUAAAUUAAAGGAAAUUUCAUAGUUAUUUGCUCCAAUGCAAAACGUUCUCGUGAUUUUAGCAAUAAGUCAAUCCAUUUUAUCUGACUCCUACUAUAAUUCUGACAUCCAAAAAACUAUUAUCAAGAUAUAGAACAAGGAGAUAUUCUAAUUUAUAACAGAACAAAAUGUUAUUCUCAAUUUCAGAGAGAGAUACUGAAACAUCAGGAGAAAUUCAGUAGAGCAGAUGAAGCACCACAUCAGAGCUGAGAUGUCUAUGCAAAUAAAAUAAUAUCAAAUACCCGAGCGUAAGUUCCCAAUUCCAAAGUAAUAUUGGUGACUUUGAUGAUACGACAAAAUGAGGAUGCAUGGUAAUAACCUCACGAAUAUGCCAAAAUGAGGAUGCUUGAUUGAUAUCUUGAGCAAGAACUCCAUUGGCUACCAAACCACUUUCCACUGAAUGAAGAAGGAAGGCCUCAAGGUUCUCCCUGGAGACAUCAAGAUAGAAUGUUUAGAACCAAAAGAAGCAGCAAAUCAUCAUUCCAGGCAUAUUUAUUUGAUAAACCUUAAGUUUUCUGAUAUAGAACGUUGGACAUUUGUUCAAACAAAGAGCAUUAUUCAUUAACUUCAAAGGUGGCUGUUGUCCAAGAGGUUUUAACUCCUUUCAAACUAUAAGCAAAAAGCAACUAGGAAAUAGAAUGGGAAAUAGCUGGCCAAGCUGGUUGUACUGAUGCCUAUGGUUGCCCAAGCAAGUUUGGACGAUAACAGUUUACAUAAAAUUAAUAACCUUCUUACAUCUGGGAGAUCAUUUGCUAAGUUUUAUUAUUCAAACUGAACUAAGCUAAGCUUGCCCCCACCAAAAAAAAAAAAAAAGUCCUAACUAGCUCGUUGAUAGAAACUAAAAUAUCCCAAACAGAAAGAAAGAGCUUCUGUUCAUCAGAUUCAUGUCAUGCCACAGAAAGAAAGUGUGUCCCUAGUGUAAGAAGUAUUUUUUUCAGAAGUUUUUUCUUCAGGUAAAAUAUUUCAUCAGUGUAUCCCCUCUAUUUCCUUGUUAAACAAGAAACUGCUUUUAAACCUGUAAAGGGAAGAGGUUGUCAAUUGUAACAAGACCUAUUCAACUAUUUUGUCCAAUUCCUAUUCGGUGACUUUCUUCGAGACCUUCAAUUUAGACGACAACAAAAUUUUAAGGAUGGCAUGUAGCAAAUAUUUUACUUGUCAAAAGUUUCGUUGCUUCCAGUUGUCUCAAUCAGAAUAUAGAAGUUGUGUAUUGAGGGAGGUAAAGGAUUGCGAACACCAUCCAAAUGUUUCAGAACCUGUCGCAUGUAACAUAUAAGCAUGGUGAUGGAAAUUAACAGCAUAUUAUUCACACAAAGUACAAGACACUAUGCAUACAUAAUCUAAUGCCGCUCACAUGUAACUUAGCUGAGUAUAUUAUACUGAGAUAAAGUUAAAAAACAUUAAGCACAAAUUACAUGAAUAUACUUCCACUUGCAUAACUGUACCAGAACUCAAGGGGCAAUGCCCUGAGAUCAAUGGAAGUGAAAUCCUGCCCGUGUUUAUCUUUUAUCACUUCUUGUCCAUGAUUUUCAGUUCCCAAAAAAGUUGUGGAACUAACCUUCAUACAACACAAGAAAUCAAAGCCUCAUAGAAUUGAGGGAAUUUCGCAUCGACUGACAACCAAAAACUUUGUGGAAAUUAGAGUAUUCCACCAAAACCCCAAAAAAAUAAUAAUAAUAAGAUCCCCACCAAAACCCCAAGCCGAAAAAACAAAAUCUAAGUCAGGCAAAACUGGUGGCAGCACAUAGAAAAUGUCUUUUUUGCUAUCUUUUAUCCUAGUUACUGUGAGUUAAUAUAUACUUUCACGGGGUCAGAACACAUGAACUUAAUAGCUUCAUGCGGACAAAUAUCCAUAAAUUACAAAGUUUUGGAAGAUAUCAGAGCUAAAUAAGAUUUACUUCAGUCCACUUCCUUACAGCUUUUGCCUUUAAAUCAAACAGACACCUCAUGUAAUAUAUCAACAAUUCUUGAAAUUUAGUACUAACCAUCUACUCUGCAUGUGCCUCUCUAGGGGUGGAGCAACAUAAGAGUUUUCUUCAUGAUUACAUGCAUUGCACAAGCAUGAAAAAGACCACCAUCAUUGUCAUCAAUUAAAGUUCACGAAAUUAAAGGCAAAUGUACGUCAAUUCAUCAGAAAGAUAUAAGGCCAUAGACAAAACUUACCAAACUCAUUGCAUCAGAAUCAAGAAACUCAAAUGCAGAAAGAAUUCCUCCAAGCUUCUUUUUUGCUUCCAACAGAAGUUUCUGGAGCCAAGAAUAGGAUGUACAAAAAAAUAAAUCAAACAUUAUUUUCCCAACUUUAUAUCUAUUCUACAAGUAUCAUUAAAUGGAAGAAAAGUAUAUAGUCAUGAGAACCUCACCACUACAUAUAGUUGGGAAUUUCACACUCGACAUUUUAAGUGUGGAUACUGGUGUUCCAAAUGUGAACGUAGCAAAAGACAAAGGGCUUUUUUCCAAGAAAAAUAGAAAUCAUAACGAAAGGAGUCUCUUAGCCUCUCAUGACGUAUAUUACCUGGCAGCUGGUGUAAUCUUCACAAGCAAGAAAAGCUAUAUUGACAGAUGACAACUUUGGAGGGGUAAGAAUUGAAACCUUUGUAACAAUUCCCAAAGAUCCUUCACUUCCUAAAGACGCAUACAGGUUGUUGAAGAAGGUAAACAUAAAAUUUCAUUGAUAAAGAGACAAAACCAUCAACGACUAAGUAAAAAAUUAUCUCUUUUCACCUAUAAAUAGGUGCUUAAGGUCAUAUCCAGUAUUGUCUUUUCUUAAAGUCCCAAGCAUGUCGAGCACAGUACCAUUUGCCAAAACUGCUUCAAGACCUGAAAGAAAUAUUUUAGAUCAAUGUUUUAGACUAACCACCUUUCUCAAAAGGAAAGUAAAAAUUCUUAAUUAUCUUCAAUAAAGGAAGAUGAUUCAUCUUGAUGCUGCCUAGAAAAAUAAUUUCCCAGUAAUAGUACAGUACCCUGAAACUGCUUUCAAUAAACAGAGGCAUUAUCCAGCCGAGCAACACUGAUCACUAUGCAACAUGAAUAAAUAUGUAAUUGUGAUUACCUGUUCCUACUUACUCACAUGCUAAAUCUAAUUCGUGUAUAAUGUACAAAGUCAAGUGGAAUAUCAGUUCAAAUUUUACUCAGAUGCUACCAGCAAAAUCUACAUUAGACAACUUAGGAAUAACAGGGACCUUUUCAAUUUAAACUUGAACUCCAAAUGAGGCUACUGGCCGCAGAUAUCAGCAUUAUACAUCAAUUACAAUUCAAGACAUCAAAAGCAAAUUCUAUGCAUAAGAGUGGUAUCAGUAUUGAACUGGAAAAGCAUACCCAAUAUCAGUGCAUAAAAAAGUUAAGAACAUGAAAACGAGGAACAAUGCUUACCAAGAACACUGCCAUGUAGUGAACCAUAUCGCAGAAGACGUAGCCCACCAGCAUUAGUUGAUACAUUUCCUCCAAUUUGACAGCUACCUUUGGCUCCUAAAUCUAGGGGCAUAAUAAAUCUGAAAAGGAACCAAAACUUCACUAAUACAGCUAGAUGUGUAAAGAAAUACUCAAUUACAUAUUUCAAGGCAUGAUCAUGAAAUUUGAGGACCAUCGCCAAAAGCUUGAAACAGAAUUAAAAUCAGAAAAAGAUCUGUUAAAUGAAUAACAUAUGAACAAAACUUCUCCACUCCUCAUAAAGCAAAAUUUUGAUCAGGCAAAAAUAGAAUAGAAGAAAUUCUUUCAUGCAUACAAUCUUUGAACACUAAGUACUUGUUCAACAGAGGUGACUGAAGUAAUUUGGUGAGCUGGUGAAUACACCAGGAACCCUAAGGUAGCAACAUUACUAUAGCAGAACCAUUUUACAACCACCAAAAAAAAAAUUCCACAGAAUUAUCACAUCUACUCAGGACUACAAGUGAAAAUGGCAUAAUAGGACAUCACAGUCAUCAUCAACUAACCAUCUGUUAUAUUGAGUAUUCUAUGUUCUUUGCAGUCUCAGAGAAGAAUUAUGACAAAGUAGUGAAUUUUUACCCUUCAUCAUCUAGGAAAGAAAUCAAGUUUUCCAAUAUGCAUCCUGCUUCACAAACCAGGACACCGCUGACCUGGAAAAGACAACAAAAGGAAAGACAAUGGAACUCAUCUCAGCAAUUUGAGUUUACAACUGACAUGAUAAUUUCUAAUUUUUAAUUUCUAACCCAAGUUUGAAGUGGAAGGAAAUGAAAAUUAGCAAAGCCACACUAACACUCUAAAGAAUGAAAACUCUGAUAAAGAAAAGACAGUCUAUUCCAUUUCUACAACAUCCUUUCAAAAUCAAAAUGCACAAUGUGUAUGUUAAUAACAAAAGCCAGGCAAAAUGCCUCAGUUGAAUAUCUGGCAUGAAAGCAGAAAUUUGAAAUAUAGAUCAGUGAACUUACUAUUACCUUGUCAAAAGAAAGGAUGUUCCUCAUUAAACCAACAUUGAUGAUCACCUAUGAAGUUUCAACAUGAGACAAGUAAGCCAGGUGCCUGAGAAUUUGAAGGUUUGGGAAAUGCAACAUGUGGAAGCCACUAGAUUUUCCAAAAGCAGUUAAUGUAUUCCUGAAUGCAUUUUUAGAUAGGUGUCGCUAGACCAUUAGUUCAAAGUUGGUUUGACCACAAAUGAAUCCUUUUAGGACCCCAAAACUUGUCAAGACUGAACUAUGAUUAGAUUGGCUGUGAUAAUAUCUGAUAGAUCAAAACAUUAUCAGGAUACUAGUUUCUUCAUUCUACUAUGAAUUCAAAAUUAAAUGACUCAACACUCAACAAAGAACAACCUUACUCCAAGUAAUCCCCUGAUCAUUUAGUGAUCAAACUUUUCAAAUAGUAUUAAUUUUGUAAUUUAACAAGUCUACAGCGCUUAAACUGCCAGCAGAAAUCUACAUGUCACCACAAAAUCGAUGCUUACAUCCGACACCUUGUAUUCCAAUUAAAGUCUCUCCUCCUUGAAGCAAUAAUAAGAUGUAGAAGUAAAUCAAUACCCUUUUCAUCAACAAUAUACAUUCUCCAAGCACAACACAAAUUAUGUUCCAAUUAACUGCAUUAAGAACAUAUUUACUACAGAAUUCAUCUUAGAUAAACUGAAAGAUUCAACGCACUAUAAAUUAAUGAGUUAUGAUAUAUACCUCAUCAAAAACAGGUACACUUCCACCCACAAGACCUGUGUUUCCACCUUGGGGAACAACAGCCAAGCACCUGGAAUUACAGUAUUUAAGAAUCUGUGAAACCUGCAUAAACCAUGUGGGCACAACAGAUGAUUACGCUUGACUUCUUUGGGUAAAAAAAAAAACCCAAUGUCUUAAAUAAACAAUAAAAAAAAGUUAUGUACUUCUUCAGUGUUCUUAGGCUGAAGCAGCAGCUUGCUCGAGCCUCUGUACUUGCCCAUCCAAUCAGUAUUUGCAGCAUCCAGUGCCAAUGCAUCCUGAACAACACCUCUCUCCCCUAAUAGGGUCUUGAAAUAGCUGAUAUCAUCAGGGCUAAUGAUAGAAAACAAGGGAUUUCUGUGCACUGUUGUGGCCACGGAAUAAAAAUAUUUCCCCUGUUUGCUUUUACAGCUAUUGUUCCAAUUAACCGCUGUCGUUAGCAUACAAAUAAAACACCAAUUAUAAACUUAAUAAGACAAUCUGCAUUUGUUUUGUCUACAACAUAGGCAGGGCGUAGAAAUUGAUAAUCUAUUGAUCUCCAGAUAAGCUACGACUUAUUAGCAAGAAAAAAGUCUUUAAAUUUAUAUACCCCUCAAAGCAGUAUAAUUUCUUUUGUCAUAAAUUUUCCUAAUCUGAAUUACUGAAAUUCAAUAACAAGACAACCAACUUGCUCCAUCUUUGCUAUUCAUUGCUACAGUAGAAAUAAAGACUACAUAGGAGUACUUACCAAUAAAAUGGGAUAGGGAAAAAACAGCAUUCUGAUACUAGCGGGUGUGUGUGAUCAUAGUUGAUAAUUGUGCACGUAAGUUUGGUACCUGAAGCGAACCUGCUAGAGAAUUUGAGCAGACGGUCAGCAGCUCUCCAUUUCUCCAUCUCGUAGAGAAUUUGAUGACUAUUGAGGGGCGAGCUAUUUCAUGAUAGUGUCAGAUUACUGGGCUAUUAAGGGAGUUUUAGGACCAGUUUGGGCAAAGAAAUAUAGAAGAGACAAGUAUUUGGAUAAAUUGGAGGCUAACUUUUUUUUUUUUUUUUUUUUUUUUUUUUUUUUGGGUAGGAGAGGCUGACUUUGUUGAAAGCUUCAGACUCGUUGCCAUGCCCACUUCUAUCCUGUCCUUUCUCUUGUGGUGCAUGCGUCUUGUUCUCAACUAUUUCUAAUUGUGUAAAAAUUAAUUUUAAAAACUUAAAAUAAAAAAAUAAAAACUUGUUUCUGAUUUUCAGCUUUUUAUGUCCAAAAAAUUCAAAAUCAAUAUAAAAUAUAAUAAAAUAAUUUUUAAAAAUCAAAUCUUAAAAGUCAUUUUGUGAUUAAAGUCCAUACUUCGACAAUGUGCAGGUGCACUCAGUGCUGGUAAAAAUAAAUUGCAUGUUUCAUUCUCUUUUUACUUAUUCCAAUAUGUCUUAUUACCAUUUUAUUUGAAACUCCAAAAAAUACAAAAGAGACAAUCACCCUUUGGUCAUAUGUCUGGCUUUUAUUUUUAACUAAUUCCAUCCAAAUUAGGUAAUGGGAAAAAAUUUAAAGUUCAAUUUAGGAGAGAAAAUGAAAAGAAAUCAACAUUUUCACAUUGUCUUGUUUGUCGAAAAUUUGGAAAAAAAAAAAUUUUGAUCAUGAAUGAAUAGACAAUGUGCAUCUAAGGUACUUAACUUCCAAUUUUUUUUUUGGGGAGGAGGGGUGUAAAUAGAUUGGGUGAUACAGGAGAAAGCCGUCUAAAUAAGAGAUCAUGACCUCAAGAGCUUCCACUUAAAAAAGAAAAAGAAAAAGUCUUCCAAUUUGAAUUAUUUAAUUGUUCAUUUUAUUGGUAAACUAGGCAACUUAAAUAUGUUGACAAAUAGUCUCACUUUUUUAUCUAUAACUUUUCCCACUUAUUAGAAGGAAAUGAAAGAAAGAAAAAUCACUUCAUUAAUUUUUCAAGAAACAAUUUCAAUUGUUCUGCAUUCUCUUUUUUUUUCCAAAAAAAAAAAAAAGAAACUCCCAAGUUUCAAUUAUCCAUCCAAACAAGCUUAAGGUGUUAAACAAAACUGAAGUAAUGGGUCGGACAGGCACUGCCCGCUUGCUAUUCGGAUCCUUUCAUUUUCCGAGCCCUAUCCAUCUCUCUCCUUCAGACUUCCCAAAGCCAAGUAGUCUAUCAAAGCUAAAUGGCGACUGCCACUGCUGCCGCUGCUGCUUCCAUAUCUUCUUCAGUGUCGUCUGUCUUAAACCAACCCCACCACCACCCUUCUCUAAUCAUCCGGCUUCCUCGGAGAUGCUCCGCCGCCUUCUCUCGCCGACUCCUUGGGUCCCCAAAUCCCCUGAAAACCUCAUCAUCUCUCUCCCGUUCUUCCUACCAUGUCCUCUCCCGCUCGCCAUUAUUAAAAGCGCGGCGAUGUUUAAACUUCUCUUUAGGAUUCGUUCGGAACUCAGCAUCGCACAUUCCGCUUUCCCAAAAGCAAGAUAUCCCGAGUCUCCACCAUUUCAUGCCAAAAGCUACUCCCGUUCCUUCUGUUUCUGAACCCCAAUUCGAGUAAGUUGGGGAUUCCAUCGAUUUCAUUUUUAUGCGUGGUUUUAUGUUUGUAUUAAUUAUGGGUUCUGUCCGCUGGAAGUAUUUGUCUUGGAUAAUCUGAGAAAUCUGAGAAAGAUUUAAUCUCGAAGAAUUGCCUGGUUGUUAUUCAACUUGAAGCUUGUACGUUAGUAAUGAGCUCAACUGUUAGUUACUGCUACAAAAAUGAAUAAGCCUUAUCGGUUUAUUUGGCUAGUAAUCAAGCUAAAAGAGAAACCACUGAAUGCAAUUUUCGAUUUUGCAUCAGUAUUUGACGUCAUAAUUGGAUAUGUUGGGAUUAUAUUGUUUGAGCAUAUUCAUUUUUAGUAUCUCAUUUAGUUAUUAUUGUAUGCUCAACAAUGCCAUUAUUUAACCUUUGCCUUCUUGACGCUUUCCGGUUUUGAUGUUGAAUAGUUGUAUUUGCUCUUCAUAGUGUUUAGUGUUGACUGAUCAUACAGAUGGGUAACUUCUGAAACUAAAGCCGUUAUAUGCACAGAGUUGUUGUCUUGUCAACAGUGCAGUGUCUAAUUACCAGCGACUUCAUAUACUUCUAGUUUUCUUAAACAUAAAGUGCUCUUAAGUCCAAUUAGAAAUAUCUCAUUGUUAUUUCUUUUCUUGUUUGUUUUUGUCCUAGCUUGAUAGCACCUACUGAAGUUCUUCCAAGAGGUCGUAUUUAUCAAGAAACAUAUGGAUGUCAGAUGAAUGUCAAUGAUAUGGAGAUAGUAUUAUCUAUCAUGAAGAAAGCUGGGUAUAGUGAAGUGGUGGAUGUUCCUGAGAGUGCAGAGAUAAUAUUUGUCAACACAUGUGCUAUUAGGGACAAUGCAGAGCAAAAGGUAUGGCAGAGGCUCAAUUACUUUUGGUUUCUUAAGAGGCAUUGGAAGAGCAAUGUUGCCAUUGGACGGUCACAGUCCCUGCAUCCUCCGAAAGUUGUUGUUCUCGGCUGUAUGGCUGAGAGGUUGAAGGAGAAGAUAUUAGAUGCAGAUAAGAUGGUUGAUGUUGUUUGUGGACCUGAUGCUUAUAGAGACCUGCCACGCCUAUUAGAAGAGGUAGACUCUGGUCAAAAAGGGAUUAACACUCUACUUUCACUUGAAGAAACUUAUGCUGAUAUCAAUCCUGUUCGUAUCUCUAAAAAUUCAAUCAGUGCUUUUGUCUCAAUUAUGAGAGGUUGCAAUAAUAUGUGCUCCUUUUGCAUUGUGCCUUUCACCAGAGGCAGAGAGAGAUCUAGGCCAGUGGAAUCCAUUGUUAGAGAGGUGGGAGAGCUUUGGAAAGAAGGUGUUAAAGAGGUGACGCUUCUUGGUCAGAAUGUUAACAGUUACAAUGACACAUCCGGGCUUGAAAAAGAAAUUGAACCAGGAGUAAACUGGAAACUUAGUGAAGGUUUUUCCAGCAUGUGUAAGGUUAAAAAGAUGGGUUUACGCUUUGCAGAUCUCUUGGAUAGACUUGCUGUGGAAUUUCCGGAGAUGCGGUUUAGAUUCACUUCACCACACCCUAAAGAUUUUCCUGAUGAGUUGUUGUAUGUAAUGCGAGACAGACACAAUAUCUGCAAAAGCAUCCAUUUGCCUGCACAAUCAGGGAACAGUAACAUGCUGAAAAAGAUGCGACGUGGCUAUACACGAGAAGCAUAUUUAGAACUUGUGAGUAAGAUACGGAGUAUAAUUCCUGAUAUGGGGAUCAGCAGUGAUUUUAUUUGUGGUGAGAGUCUUAUUCACAUUGGUUUUACUCAUCAUAUUCUUAGUUUUCAUUAAUUAUUUUAUCUUCUCUUCUUUGAUUUUCUUCAUUUUAUUGCAUUUUUCUGGUUCUUUUACACCUCAUGGCUUGUCAUCAAGUUCCUUGACUCUCCCUGAUUAUCAAAUGGUACCACUGUCAAUCAUGAAUCUCUGGGGUUUAAGUUUCAUAUGGAUCCUGUAAUUGCCAAGCACUCCCAUGUUUUGGCAGUAGUUGACCAAAUCUUCUUGAGCUUUUAAUUUUAAUUGGUUGGACUAUUUUGGGGAUAGGAUUGCUUAUGAAUCAUUUCUUGUCUGAAUAAUUUGGUGCCUUGAUGCAGGUUUUUGUGGUGAAACAGAGGAGGAGCACCAAGACACACUUACCCUGAUGAAGGCUGUCAGUUAUGAUAUGGCAUACAUGUUUGCAUACAGUAUGAGAGAGAAAACCCAUGCCCACAGGAAUUACAUGGAUGAUGUUCUUGAAGAUGUAAAGCAGAGACGGCUAACAGAGCUUAUUGAAGCUUUCCGGGAGAGUACAGGUCAGUGCUUUGACUCCCAACUUGGCAGUGUCCAACUUGUGUUAGUUGAAGGGCCCAAUAAGAGGGCCCCUGACACAGAGCUUAUAGGCAAGAGCGAUAGAGGCCACAGGGUAUCUUUCAGAAACUUGCCUGUCCCUGAUAGGGUUGAGAAUGAUGGUAAAAGGAAUCCAAGAGUUGGUGAUUUUGUGGAAGUUCAUAUUUCAAAAACCUCAAGAGCGUCACUCUUUGGAGAAGCACUUGCGAUUACUAAACUGAGCUCAUUUUAUGACAAUCUACAUGAACAUGCUUUUGCCUGUGCUAGCAGAAUUUGAUCUAUUCUUUUAAGGAGCCCCUGGUACAACUUUUUCCUCACUAAAUUAAUCUACUCAAAGGUCGUUUUGCUGUAAUUACGGGUUUAAGUUUCAUUCACCCCUUUGAAUUAUUGCUUGGUCUCAAAAUUAAGUGCUUGUUCGGCAGACCUAUAUUACACAGUUUAUAUUUCUGGAGGAAAUUCCAUACCAAGCAACAGUUCUGGGGCUGAAGGGAGUAAAUUGAAUUUGCCCUUGAUUACAUCCUGGAAGCACAGGAAGCACAGGUGAUUUCUAUUGGUCUGGUUCCUUGGGAUGGGCUCUGGACCUCCGUUAAAAGGGUAGGAUAUUUCUCUUGGUUUUGCGUGAUGCUUGUAGUGAAAGAUAGGCUUUUGUGUAGUUUCCCACUUUUCACUCAAACCAGGCGAAAAUGCCAAGAUCACAGAAUCAAAUGCAGGAGAGCAAAAUACUUGGUAGCACUCUUUCUCAGAGUUAUUAGAGAGUAUCCAAGACACUCAGCAGUGCCAGUGAAAUGGAGCUUCUCUGAAGCAUGAAUCUGGGAGGUUAAACAUUCUCCAGUUCAGGUGGAUCAGUGUCAGCAAGAAAAUGGGUUUUGUACGCCAGGUUCAUUUAAUUUUACGUGAGAUUAUAGUUCUUAACUCCCAGAAUCCAUUGUCAUUGAGUUUUGGUGUACGACUAGAUUAGGACAAACAAAAUACACAUAUGAGGAGUUUGGCAUGAAAGCCCCACCGGGGGGGAUUCUGAUGCAAGUGAAAGGGAUGAAUUAUACGGAAAGCUUUAGCUCGAACCCUGUACACCUUUUCUAUCCUAGAGGCUCCGCAUGUUUCCUGGUGUAAGUUCAUUGCUGAAAGCUAAAUGUAAGUCAACUAUAAUUAUAUACAUAAAAUAUAUAUAAUAAUAUGUAUAAUUUAUAAUUAUACCUAUUAUAACAUAAAUUAAUAAUAAUUUAUAUAUCGAUUUGUGGUAAUUCAUAAUCAUUAAAUAAAUAUUAUAUUUAAUUAUGAAUUCGUUUUGAGUUCAAUUUAAGUCCAAAGUUCAUAUAAAAAUGUGAAUCAAGUUUGAGCCUCCUAAUUUGAGCCUAAACUCGAAGGUCCAAAAGCCUGAAAGUUCUACUGAAUCACGUUUGUGAACCAAGUUUGAGCUUGUCAAAACUGGCUCAUAGAGCCUAACCGACAGCCCUGCAGCUAAUUGUUUUCCUUGACAGCAACCGCAUUCAGACGUUGCAUGACCAAGUGAUGAAAUUUUAGGCUCAAUGCAUUAUUACGCUAUGCUAAAGACUCUGAAAUACGGUAACACUUCAUUGGAAAAGUUUAUUAUUAUUAGAGAGCUUUCAAAAGAAUUACUGGUGUAGUGGAGGAAAAGUUUCCCAAGAAAUACUUAAUUGAAUGCAAGGCAAUUAGCUGUGUUUGGUUUUGCUUUUAGGCUUUUAGCUAAUGUCAGGGGGUGCUGAGAACUGAGAAUGAGUGUGUGUGUGAAUUUGUCGGGUUCUUGAGGAGAAUGAGAAGAGAGAGUGACCAAAAAGAGCAGAGUGAAAAUUGAAGAGUGAUAAGGACAAGUCGAAGUAGACGAGACUUGUGAGGAAGCAAAGCAAAGCCAUGGGGAGCGUCUUGAAAAAUGAAGAUGCAGCAGGAGCAGAAAAUGGAGAGUUGAGUUCACCAGUCCCGCAUUCACAUUAAUGUACACAGCAGUCAGUGUCGGCCGGGCGAGUCUGAGCGAGCAAGAUGUUCUAAGUAGUAGUAUUAUGGUACCGACUAUGCAAAAACUAAAAAGCGCAUACAUUCAUUCGUUACGUAGGUUACAAUACAAUACCCCGUCCCGUGCGUCGGCGUCCUCAUUAAUGAAUUCCCCGCCAUUCUCUUCUUCUUAAUGCUCCCGCCCUUCUCCGACGGAUCCACAGAAAUGACAGUGAUGAUGGAUCACUCAGUUCACUGUUCCUUCGUUUUGUUACUUUCACUUCAUUCCAGCCCUCAAAAAAUGUGUGUGUUUGUAGUAUUAUUAUCUGAGAACGCAUCUACAAGCAAAAAUGUUCGCUGCUGCGUCUCUUGCAUAGUUAGCGUCCGAUCUCGAGUCUGGACUGAUUUUUAUUCAAACGCACGCACAAGAUGCAUACCCAUUUAUUGCCUUUAAAUACACAUCUACUACGAGUAAAAAAGUUUGCUGCUGCGUCUCUGGCAUAGUUAGGGUCCGCUAGGCUCUAGGCCUCUAGCUAACAUAGUAUAGUGCAUCUAGGGGUACGGGUGAUAUCGAGUCGAGUCGAGCUCGAGUAGUGCACUACUCGAGCUCGACUCGAGGCAAAAUAACUAGGCUCGAGCUCGAACUCGUCAAGCUUUUAAAAUUCGAGCUCGAGCUCGAGCUCGACAUCAAUUUAUGGAGCUCGAGAUUGAGUUUAAUUAAAUGUAAUUAAUUCAAAUCAAGCUCAAUCAAGCCUAAUCAAGCUCAAGUAAUAAAAAUUAAUAUUUUAUAUAUAAUUUUAAAUAAAGGAUAUUAUUGACAUUUCACAAUAAUAAAAAUAAAAAAUAUAUAUUAUAGAAAGCUCGAUAGAGCUCGUCGAGUUCUCGAGUAUUAUAUUUCCAAACUCAAACUCGACUCGAUAGCUCUAACGAGCAGCUCGAGCUGUUGACCAAGUAGCUCGCGAGCUCCAGCCGAGCUACUUGGUUCAGCUCCAGCCCUAUCUGGGGGUCACUGCAAUGUUAAAUUCUAGGGUUAAUUACAUUUACCUCCCCUGAGGUUUGACCAUAUUACCAAACAAUCCCUAUAAUUUGUCCAAAUAACGGUCUCACCCUUUGAAUGAUCAAACAUUUAAGAAAAACCCCCUUAAUGCCGAAAAUACCCUUAUUGAGGCCAUGUUGCAUUAAAAAAAGAACAUAUUUUUAUUUUAUUAACCUUGAAGCAAUCCAAAAAAACAGAAAAAAAUUUUGCUUAUUAUUUUAUAAAAACCAUAUCUUUGCUUCCAUAAAUAGUUUUGAAUCAAUAAUUAUUUUAAAUCUUAAAAAUGAAUAUUAAAAAUUAGAUAAAUUGAAAGAAAAAUUAAAAAAAGAAGAAAUUAUUUUAAUUGCUGAAGUAUGGUUCAAAUUGAGGAAAACAUGCCCUGUACUCUCCGCAACAUGCCUUGAACCACAAAUUCGAACCAUACUUGAGGAUUUAAAAUAAUUGCUCUUUUUUAUUUUUUUUUCAAUUUAUCUAAUUUUUAAUAUUCAUUUUUAAGAUUUAAAAUAAUUAUUGAUUCAAAACUAUUUAUGGAAGCAAAGAUAUGGUUUUUAUAAAAUAAUAAGCAAAAACUUUUUUCUAUUUUUUUGAAUAAAAUAAAAUAUGUUCUUUUUUUAAUGCAAUAUAGCCUCAAUAAGGGCAUUUUUGGCAUUAAGGGGGUUUUUGUUAAAUGUUUGAUCAUUCAAAGGGUGAGACCGUUAUUUGGACAAAUUACAGGGAUUGAUUGGUAAUAUGGUCAAAUCUCAGGGGAAGUAAAUAUAAUUAACCCUAAAUUCUACUUAAAAAUUUUCGGAAGCUUGGAUUUUUAAGAGUUACUAUUUCAGUUUCUCCAGUAUCAUACAUAGUAUUCUAAACCAGCCUUAGGUCAUUAGAAAUCCAUUUUCACUUCCAACUUCAUGCUUAAUUUGUUUCCUAAGCAACUUUCCUGUUCGCCCUGCCAGAUCUCUACUUUUUUUCCCCUUAUGAUGCUAAAUCUCUACUUAAUUUAUAUAUAUGUCUUGUGCUUUUGCAAUUCCUCAUGAUUAUGAAUAGUGGACUGAAAGAUAAGGUGAUUAAUUGAGCCUGCGCAAUCUGUUUUAUGUUGAAUUAGCUAAAAGUUAAACUAGUGUUGCUUAGAUUAGAAAAACAGGACUAAGUGCUAUAAUACUCCCUAGUCAAUUCCAAUUAGUUUCUUCAAAUCUCAUUUUAAUUCUCAACACGUCAAAUCACACACGCACACACACACGUACACAGAAUAUAAAUGGUCUAUCCAAGGGGUACCCAUGCCCUCGUUAAAAUGUAUUUCAUCUGUCAUAUUUUUUAAAAUGUAAGAUUAAUUAACGAAAGUAAAUAAAUACAAUGAAAAGAAAGUAUAUAAAUGCAAUGAAGAGUAAUAAUUAUUAAUAUAUGUAUAUACAUAGUACGUUAAGUGAAUUUUAUACGUGUGCUAAUGGACACACAUUAGAAAAAUCCUAAUACAAAAUGAUCUUCAGUUCUGAUUUUGGUAGGUUGUUAAAUUGGCUAUUUCGACAUUCUAUCAAGUGGACAUUUUUUUUUCAUGCCAUGUGGCAAAUUAAAUUGCAAGAAAAAGUGUGUCCAUUUAUAUCUCCGUGGAUUUUAUUUUUCUUUUUGUGGUAACAAUUAAUUAUACACCUUAUUAGAGUUCCUUAUUUAUAGUCAAUUUCACCCAAUCUAUUAAUGACCUACCUUAUAUAAGUUUGUAUUAAUUAUAUCUUUUUAUUUUUUUUGGUCAAUCAACUCAUAUCUUUCUUUUUAAUCUCCUCAAUUACUUUUUCUAUUCUUGUUAUUGGCUUGAUUACUUAUUGCCAUUACUAAAAUUUGAACAAAAUAUACUAUAUUAAUGCUCACGUAGAUAGUAUUUCUCUUGAUGGGUUACUAAGUAGGCUAUACUGAAAAAAAUUUGCCUAUUCCGGUUUUUUGCCAAGUGUAAAUUCUAUCUUUUCGCCAUGUGGAAAAACAUUAUGUAUGCUUAUGUUUCUUGGUGUAUUUUAUUCUUUCUUGGUUAACAAUUAAUUAUAGUCCUUUAUUACUUUUUAUUUAUAGUAAAAUUUAAACAAUCAAAUAAUUGCCUACUUUAUAUAAAUUUCUAUAAUUUAUGCUUUAUUUUAUGUGUUUUUCUAACUGGUAUCCAAUGAACACUAGUUAAC